AAAGAGUGAAGAUCAAGUCAGGUAAGAGAGUCACCUACAGAAUAAGUGUUUACAUGGACGCAUUUCGGAAUAACGAUCGGCAUUAACCACCCUCUCUUGAUCGGAAUGUAAUUUCUUUCCGAUUGAGCCGAAUUGGAUCAGAAUCUUCCGAUUUACAUGUCUACGUGGGGCAUUUUUUUUAUCCCGAUCGUGCAUAUUUAUUCCGAUUACUUGUGCCCAUGUAAAUGCAGCUUUUGAAAUGCUCAUGUUACAACAUCAAUUUUGGGAAUGUGAAUCAACACAUGAAGGUGUGCUUUGGAGACUUUCAGCACACAUUAAGUGUUGGGUUGACUUUUUAUAUACUGUACUAUCUCAGCGUUUUAUGUUAAAUUCACAGCUGAAAAGUCUCAAAAUAAAGUCUUUGGUAGUUGAGAAAUAAAAUCAAUGGCUUGUUUAGUCCUCUUGGUGGUGCUGUUGAGUUUAUUUCUGCUCAGAAUGACAAACAAGUGGAAGUUGAUAAAUCAAAGAAAGAAACAAGAAAAACAACAUCUAUGUCUAGAUCAAAACUGUGGAGUCAUUUUGGAUUUUUUUUUUAACAAGAAGCAUUGACAGAUAGCAUCAAAUACAUCAAGAUUUUAACACAGUCUAACAGCUAUUUAUCUAGUUGUUUAUCUGAACAUGUGCAGCCGUCCAGUGUCAUGGCAGAUGAGUUGUUUUGUUAAAUACUUGAGCUCAGGUGUGAUACUGUUCACUUACACACUAGUACAGCCACAGCUCUACAGAGAAGAGCAGCUUGGAGUUGAAGAAAGUUUGGGUACAGCAGCUUAUUUUAUGACAGAUGACUGGCAGCUGCCGUCUCACAUCCCUGAGACCAGACUAGAGUUGGAGAGACCUGACUUUGUGGUGGUGCUUAAUAACAGCCAAACAAUAUUGUGCUGUGUCACAUCAAGUAUUUGACCUGAUGCUUUCAGGCUCCUCUCCUCUGGGAUCACCUACGAGUCGAGGUGUGAGGGUCAGGACAGACACUCUCUACCUUUUAAGAGUGGCCUUAAAAGUGUUUCUUUUUGAUUAAGUUUAUAGUCAGGACUGCUUCAGGCCUGGGUCAUGGCACUGUAGGUCAAGACUGCAAGGGCCUCCUUCUCCAUCCUCUCUCUGUCUGUAUCAUUAACUUUGAAUCAUCGCUUCCCAUAGAGUCACUAAGACACUGUCUUUUCUGGUAGUCUCUGUACUCUAUCAUGCUUUAGGUUCCUCUAGAUCGCUGCUGCAGACAUUUGACUUGCCUGCUUUCCAGCUGCUUCAACGGCAACUGGUAUUCUUCAAAUAAAACACGUCAGGUCAGACGAUAUGUUGUGUUAUUUGAAGAAUACCAGUUUUUGCCAUGGAGACACGGAGUCUCUGGAGCUAGAUUAUUUAGAAUGAGGAACUGUUUUAUCCCUCAGUCUGUAAAAAUGUUGAAUCAGUUGGUUUCAUCAGGGCAAUGAGAAGGGACUUGGAGGCACUGCAACCACUUUGAUGUUAUGUAUAAAGCACGUUACAUGUCUGAUGUUUGUCUCGUGUUAUAUUCUGCGAUAUUUUCUGAUUUUUUUGGUUAUUGUUUGUAAUUUUCAGGAGAGAAUCUGACAAUUAUGUAUUUUACAAACAAACUAACUAAUUGAGUGAGUCAGUGACUGGCUAACUAACUAACUAAUUGAAAGACAGACAGACAGACUGACUGACUGACUGACUGACUGACUGACUGACUGACAAACAAACAAACAAACAGACUGACUGUCUGACUGACAAAACAAACAAAAAAAAAAAAAACUAACCAACUCACAUACUGACUGACAAACAAACAAACAAAACAAAGACAAACAAACUAACUAACUAACUAACUAACUAACUAACUAACUAACUGACUGACUGACUGACUGACUGACUGACAGGCAAACAAACUCACUCACUCACUCACUCACUCACUCACUCACUCACUCACUCACUCACUCACUCACAAUCUCGCCUCUGUCCAUCUCUCUCUCUCUGCAUCUCCCUCCAUAACACACACAUACAAGCACACACACGCGCACGCACGCACGCACGCACGCACGCACGCACGCACACACACACACACACACACACAAUCUCUCUACGUAUCUCUCUCUUUAGCUGUCUAUCCCUCUCUCUCUCUCUCACACACACACACACACAAAAUAGUUUUAUUUUGUGUGUUUUGUAUAUUUAAAGACUAUAAAUGAGAUCGCGGUUAAGAAAUACACAUGUAGAAACAUUACUCUAUGUCAUUGCUUUACUUUCAGAAAUAUGUUUCUCACCAGCUCAGGAGUUUGUUUGAAAUGUUUCCUGUGUCAAAAUAACCAGAAAUGUCUUAAGUGCCAUGCAGCCACACUUGAGUUUGAUAUUCAAGUACUUGUCCUUAAGUUGGUGAUCAUUAGCACCAGUAAAUUACAGAUGGAGAUAUCUGUUUUUCAUUAUUACACUGCUAGAUUUAGCUCUUAUGGCUUGAUAUUCAGGUGACCUUGUAAGACUUUUUUUUUUCAUGCAGAGCAUACGAUCAGUAUAUAAAUCCUUGUUACAGUAAGUGGUGGGGGAUUUAUGUAAAAGUGUGGAGACUGUAACCAGCAGGUGGUGCUGUGGGACAGAAAACUGAGAUCCAGCAUCAAGGUCAGAGCUUUAUGUGCAAGUCAUCACAAGAAGAGUAAGUGUAGAGGGAAAACACAUAUACUCCUCAGUCUGUCAGAUUGAGAUGACUAUAAUAAAACCCUGCAGCAUCUGAAGUGUUAGCGAUAAUGAGAUCCUCUUUAAGACAGACCCUAGAGACGGCAUGAGGUGACCUUGAUUGAUCUACCAGCGGCAUGCGCAUGUUGCCUUAUCUGAUCACCACCUUGCGUCGCUGGUGAUAACUUCCCAUCCCUGUCCUCCAUGAGGAAGAUCAGGCCAGUAUAAACGUCCCUUUAAGGCCUCAGAGUUUCAGCUUUAUCAAUCGACUGUGAGGAAAUAAGGGGUGGAGAGACGCCUGUUUUCAAAGCUGUGGCAGAUAUGUUACACUCUCAUGUACUUUUUAGAACUAAUGUUGUCUUUGGACUUGAGUGUGUCUCUCCCAGAGUGCCAUACUUUCCUGUAGUCACUUGAUAACAGGAGGAAAAGGCUCUCAUUCUGAUUGACAUUCAGUGCUGACUUGUUGGCUUGUUCAUUAUCAUUUUUUCCGCACCAUGCCAGCCUAAACUUGACUUCCUUUGUCUAAAUGCAGACAAGAAGUAAUAAUUAUGAACUUGGAAAUGUAUUUGUUAUUGGAGGAAAUGUGUUUGCAGUUUAGAUGGACAGCUCUCAGAAGAAAAACUUGAAGAAACUUAACAUGCAGUUUUUAUUUGAUAUGACAAAGUGAGCACGACUCUACACAAGACGCCUUUAUACAUCACUUGGUUGAGGAUUUUCAGAGGGGAGCUCUUCAUGAACAGAAGUCAUUGUGAUCUGUUUAUCUGGUUUGACUAGUCCUCUCUUUUCCCUCUGUCAGGUCUGGCAGGCCCUCUAUUUCUCUAUCCUCUCAUCUCUGCAUUUCUUCAUUUUGGCGUCUCGCUCUGUCACCCCUCCAUGGUCACGUCUUCGCUCCCGCCCCGCUCCUCGGUCUUCAGAUCGUCUCGCUUGCUCUCGGUUUAAUAACUGUUUUGUCACGCUCUGUGUCUUUGUCCUUCAGCGGAGGCGACUCUCUGAUCAGCUUCUUAAAGAUCUGCUAUGCACUUGUUUGCAUGAUUCAUGUAUGUCACCAAUGCCACGAUGGUGAUCAUUGAUUAUGCCGUUGCAUGCAUGAAGGCUCCUCUUCAUAAUGCUUCUUGAAUGGGUUACUAUAACACUCCAGGAAAUACAUGUACUUGAUUUCUAGGAGUUGGAUGUAAAGAUCAAGGUCAGUCAAGCCUGAAUGUUAAAUCUGAAGCUGAAAUCAGGACUGGAAGAAGACCGGGAAAUAAGGAAACUGCUUGUCUUUGUUAGUAAAAAAACACAAAUAGUGAUGUGACACCGAUAUUGACCCAAAAAUGUCAAGGAGGCUGAGUCAACCUCACAUUUCUUUUAAGGGCAGCGCUCUUGAACAUCAACAAGUUGAAUCAUCGUUCUAGAAACUGGUAAUUUAAAGUAUUUCUCCAAGAACUCUUGACUGGGAGGCAAGAACUUUAACCCUUCUACCACUUUGCUGCCUUGAAGGUCCCACUUUCCUCUCCUGUUUAUUCUGAGACUUCUCCCGACUCUGAAACAGAGGUGCCCAAGCCUGAAAUUUAACCUUGAGCUUUCAGGCUUUAAGGCAGGAAACAUGAUCGUGGCACUAAUGAGCUGUCUGUAAUUUAUUAUAAUAUCCAAGUUUUUUUCCAAUCCAAUCCAAGUUCAUUUAUAAAGCACAUUUUAAAAAAAACUGACCAAAGUGCUGUACAGUGAAGAUUAAACAAAAAAUAAAAACAGAAAAUUAACACAAAUGAUAAAACAAAGACACAGGACCUCAUUUAAAAACAGGGAGACAUAGAUGGUUAAAUAAAACUUGAUUAAAAGGCCAAGUUCUCAAGGGUCGAGAGCCGUGGUGUAAAAGUGCGUUUUAAGUUUGAUUUAAAAACAGGCAGUGAGGGAGACAGUCGGACAUGAAGAGGAAGAGCAUUCCAGAGCUUAGGCGUGCAACGGCAAAAACUCGGUCACCCUUGAACUUCAAUCUCGACCUCAGGACAGUCAGAAGGCACUGAUCAGAGGAUCUGAGAGUCCAAGACAUGAUUAGGGCCCGAUCGAUAUGGAAUUUUGGGGCUGAUGUCGAUACCGAUUAUUGGGGGGGGGGGGGGGGGAAUCCUAUUACCGAUUAAUCAGCCGAUUUUUAACAUUUUUUAAUGAAGUUAUGAAAAAUAUAAAUACUGUAGAUAUUCACAGUAUACUAUAUACUGUAGGUGUACUUUAGGCCACUGCUCUUCACGCCGACAGGAAGAUCGACUGAUUGCCGCCGAUCGGUGCCUCCGCGUCUGAACCCACGUUACUCAUUUCCGGUCUGGAGACAUUCAGCUGCCUCAGUAAGAGAAGUAGCUCGAUCACUAAUGUGUACUGUUGUUUGUUCUACUGUUACCGGCACGGCUAACAGUGUAGCAAGGCUAAUAGCAGAUGGCUAACUCUAACUUUAGCUUGCAUAUUACAUGGUGCUCAUUGUUUGACCGUUCGUGACCGAGACCAACACAGCGGGGAACAUCGUGAAGUGGGUUGAACUGAAACUUGUUGACUUAUUGACUGAAAAUAUCGGCGAAAAUCGGCGAAAAUUGGCAAAGAUGGAGAUAAUAAAAACUGGCUUUUACAACCGCGUUAAACUGUAGAUCCAUGUUGAAAUCUUGCCCAGAUUUUUUACAGAGUCUUUAAGAAAGGGCUCAAAGUUGGACAGAUCUGUUCUGGGGCAGCUGCCAUGUGGUCCAAAGACAAUGACUUCAAGUUUUUUCUAGUUUCCUGUUUGUUUUUAGUCAUUUAAAGCCUGUUUCUCUGCUCUCUCUACCCUUUUAAUCAGUGCAAUACUGUAAAAAAGUGAUCCAAUCUUAAAGAUCUGUCUCUGGACAUGCCAUAGUAGGAGGCUCAUUUUAAUAUGGAGGCCAUAUGUUGGUUACCUAUGUAGUUUUUUACACUUCGAUAACAAGUGGAUUUGUCCUUUUAAAGUUUUGGAAAAUCAAAACUGCAUUUAAGAAAUGACGUUGUAUUGUGGGCAAUGUCCUUUUGUUGAGUAAGAUUCAUAGUUCUUUGUGCAGAACCAGGUUAGCAUUCAACCACCGGUUUCCAGCCUUUUCCCCCAAAAUAACAAGCUAUUCCUUUUAAGAAACAAGUGAGGACAUGCAGCUUUAUCCUCACUGGUAAAAAGCAUUCUCACGAUAUCAUUCAUAAGCGUUUCUCAAAAGGUAAAUUUAGCAUUUUGAAUGAUCUGGAAUCAAAUGUGACUAUUUUAUGCUAAAAGCAACUGAUUGUAGGUAAGUGGGCUGUAAAAAAAGGGUGCAUGAAUCACCUUUUAUCACAUCUCCAACUAGCAAUAAACCAGAGCAGAGGAUCAAAGACAUGAAAUGAAAAGGAAAAAGGCGGUGUUACGGAGAGGUCACAGUGUCUCAUUUCUUGGAUAGAGCUCUGAUGUCUCUGCAUGUAAGUCGACUGAUGAAAUCACUGUCUGAACCUCUUCCUCCAGAGAUCUGGAUCGAUGUAUUUGCUCAUAGAUGAGUGCAGAGUUAACGUACCAGCAUCUAAACAAAACUGUAUUUUUAUUUCUUUCUAUAUUUAAAAGCAUCAUACUGUAUGUGUCUGAUGGUGCUGUUGAGGGUUUGCUUCCUCUACCACAAGCCUCCUGAUGAGAGAUGACCUGACAGACUCUACCAUGUGACUCUGACAGUGCUGUGCCCCCUGCCCCCCUCCUGAGAGACCCCAUCACAGAAUACCAUUUAAGAGCAAAAGGAAACACACAUUCACACACUUACAAUACAAAGAUUACCCCAGUCAAAGCCGCACAGUUACUCUGUGUGUGUGUGUGUGUGAGUGUGCGUGCGAACCCGGGAGCCAUUCAGGUGGAAAAUAACACUGCCCAAUCAAUCGCUAAUAGAAAGUCUGUCCUCUGGCAGCGACCAAUCAAACCAUCACAAUGAGUAUUCUCCUUAAAACAACGGCCAAUCAGUUGCUCCAAAUGCUUUUGUUUGUCAUGUUGAUCCUGAUAAAAUGUAAUUAUUCUCUGUUUUUAUGGGCUAAUAUUGAUGGCAGGGCAGGCAGGGCUGAUGACAAUAAUUAAAUGCAAGCUAACAAGAAAAUAACCAAAGGAAAGAGAAAAUGGAAAGAGAAUGAGCGUUUUUUUUCCACCCUGAUGCCCUUUCAGUUUGUAAUUAAUUCAAAUAUGAUUUUUUUUUCUGCAAGCAUAUAAUCCAUUUCAGCAUUUUUCACAUUCAUUUUAAAGGAUUUGAUGGAGACUCAUUUGAAUAAACAUUUUGCUCCAUAUUAGUCUGGGUAAUGAAGUGGAUCUCGGAAGAAAAAAGGCUUUUGUUAUGAGAGUGCAGACAGUCGGGGUACUGGGGGGACUCACUUUGGUCACCUCGGUAGGGAAAAUUGCUGGGGACCAGAUUUAAUCUUGAACAGAAUGCUAAUUAUAAUUUGUUAUUUUUGAUAAAGAUGACAUAGAGAAGUGAUGAGCAGGGUGUUUUUUUGAAAUUGACAAUUAUAGGCAACACUGUCCGUAUUGAAUUAUAGAAGAAAAGUUAAUGCAAACAGUUCAUGUGCAUGCUAAGAUUGGUCACACUUCUAUUUUCUUCUUAUUGUUGGAGGCAACUUUUAAUAAAAGAAAUGAAGGAGGAUUUAUGUGAGCAGUUUCCCUGAAUAAAUACUGUAAGUUUAAAGUAAAAAUAUAUGCCACAAGUUGCAUACUUGUUACGUAUCAAAACAAUCGACAAAACCAUCAGAGAGAGGCACGAGGCAAGUUUAUUUGUAUAGCACCGUUCACACACAAGGCAAUUCAAAGUGCUUCACAGAUGCUGGGAAAUACAUUGGAAAUGACAAAAAAGACAUUUAAACGAUCUACAAUCAAUAAGACAAUAAUUGAUGCAAUAAAGAGUGAAACACUGAAAACACCACCACUAUUACAGUUCUGUACUGUUUAUCUGUACGAUAUGAACAUUUUGUCUGUUUUUUUACAUUCUGUCUUUGUCAAGGUUUUGUUUACUUCCUGGCUUCCUGGCAGCACAUUUACACUACUCAGCUCCCGGUUUAAGAACACUGGAGAAUGUGCAGAAUACUUAGGCCAGUUUCAGUUCAACUUAGCCGAAAACAUGGAAGAGAAAAUUGAUCCCUAACCGCAUUAUUCAGGUACAGUAUGUUAGUCCAAAUAUGAGAAAUUCAGUUUAGUGCAAAUUCAUUCGAACUUGCAUGUUGACUUGUUUUUUCAAAGUCCAGUUUCAGUCGGACGAAGGUAAUAAAUCAAUUUUCAUCAGUGUCAACCAUAGACUGUAUAUAGAAUGGACGCCGUCUGCCUCCUUGCUUGGUGAAACCACCCUGAGAACAGCACCCUCUGGUGACGGGCUGCGGUAUAGGUCAUAAAUCCCGCCUCCUCCAGCAAUCCCUAUGGAGCUGUGGACAAACUUUGGAAAUUAAUUACACAGAAUAUAAAUUUUGUCUUCUUUUUUCUGUACUUCACACCAGAUAAAAAUAACAGCACCAGUCAUAGGGGAUGUUUUGGCUUCACUUUUGCUUCAACAAGGUGGGGUAUAGGGAUUGCCACUCUUGUUAAAUAUAGUUAAAUUAAAUCUAUACAGACUCCUGGUGCAUAAAGCAUGAAAGUUUCUGGGACACACAAAAAUGUGAACACAGUGAGGUUUUGAAGACAGAAAAUCUGUGUUUUUGUCGUAUUUCAGUGCGACUGAAAUGAAAUUUGAAAGAGCUGGGAUAAAUCUUCAAAGAGAAACCCACCUUUUGAGAAACCCUAAUCUCCUUUUUUUCAUUUUUCUUUAUUCAUGUUACACUGAAGUGAUUGGCUUCUUAUCAUGUUUCUGAUUUCUUUUUGAAUACUUAUCAUGCCAUGUAGUUUUUUUUUUUUUUCAUAAAUGUGCUCAUCUUUGCAAGAACCAAAAACAACCUGGUCUCUGCUGGAAAAAAGAAGCACCAGUGUUAUUUUUAAAAAGAUGAUUUCAUGCCUUUAUAUUAUUAUAUGUUUGAAUAAGGUCAACAAAGCUAUUCCCAGUCUCUGCAGAGUGUUAUGGUCUGUGAUUUUUGAGUCCAAAUGUCUGAAUUUAAAAUACAAAAAGGCAGAAAGUGAUUUAAUGGGAUUCAUGACUCCUAUUUCACUAUCUUAAUCGACUGUCUGUAUUUUCUUGUUUUGACUCAGCCACUUUUAUUAUAAACAACCUCAGUCUGAAGCAAGGAAACACAAACACACACACAAACAGACACACACUCGUACACACAGCUAUAUGAAUUGAAGAUUAGUCUGCAGGAAUCAGGGAUUGCUGGCUCUCAACACAAAUGUCAUGGUGAGUCGUAACCUUUACUGGAGCACGUUAUCUGCUCUGAUAGCGUAGCCGAGGCCGGGACGGAGGACCAACGCGAUGCGAUUGGAUUUGAAAGGUCCCCAUCCAAGUCGUGCCCGCAGGCUAUCUUGCCUCCACAGUUCAGCAACACCAGCAACUAUACGGCACGUCGCAAAGUUUCAAGGAUCUGAUCUGUCCCGCCUCAUCUGCAUCUCCCCUGCCCCAGAUUAAUGAGCUGUGGCUGGAGAAACGGAGGAAGGGUCUGUUCUGUGUUGGAGAUGAAACAUGAUUCAGAAUAGGAUCAUAAUGAGAAACAAAGUUCCUAUAACCCGGCUGCUCUUUUUUAUAGUUAAAUGGUCGGAGAUACGAGACUAAAAGAUAGAUGCGGUUGGCGGUGUUGGAGGCAGAUGUGUAUGUGCAGAAGUGCUGACAUGUGUAUCUGUCACUAUGGGUCAGGAGUUAUGAAGCUGACAAUGCCAGCUCCUUGUUCAAACCUCAGAGAUCACAGGAUGACCUUGAUGUCAGCUUGGAUAGAUGACUGUAGAUAUGCAUUACAUAAACAAAACUGCUUUUAGAAACUAAAGAUAUGUUUACUUCCAUCUUAGUCAUUUUUCUCACCAUCUUUAUCCAGAAAAGUACCUGAUAAUUCCCAAAGUAUUGGGAAGUAACCCUCUUUUUACUGUGAUCUACUCUAAGCAUGCAGGUGCAGCUAAUCAGACUGAUUGCAGCAGCAACCACAUCACAAAAGCUGGAAGAGAACUAUUCUAGGGUGUGCAAAUCUUCAUCAACCUAGAUUACGCUCAAGUGGGUGAAAGACGCAGGUCAGUGGGACAUUGUAAACUGCAGUGAAGUUUCAGGUAUACAGGACUCGCAUAUAAGCAAUCAAACUGAAACUACUGAAAAAAUGUGAGCAUCAUUAGACGUCACGACUAAUCAAAACAUAUAUGCUUUACAUUGUUAACUGAACAAAGAAACUUUUUUGUCUGAAUCAUGAAAUAUCAAAGUUUCACAGCUAAAUAAGAUGCAGAUAGUUUUUAGGUAGCUCUUAGAGAGGAAACAGUUUAAACUUUCUCUUGCGUGAAGAUUUCCUUUACCUUGGUAGAGUGCAGUUUCUUUGUUAAUGUGUAGGUCUUGCAAACUGGUGAGGAGACUGGCUGGGCAACAAAAUUUACAAAUCAAAUUGAAAUAAAACAACAUGUACUCUCUAUUUCAUAACAUUUAUUGUAAUAUAUCGUAUCAUAUCGUAUUGUAUCGUAUCCAAUUGUGUCAUAUUGUAUCGUAUCGUACCAUAUAGCAUCGGAUAGUAUCAUGUUGUAUCUUAUCGUAUUGUAUCAUGUCGUAUCGUAUCUUGUCGUAUCACAUUGUAUCGUAUCGCAUCAAGUUGUAUAAAAUUGUAUCGUAUGUAUCGUAUUGUAUUUUAUCAUAUCAUAUUGUAUCAAAUCAUAUAUGUAUCAUAUCAUAUUCUGUCGUAUCAUAUUAUAUUGUAACAUCUCGUAUCGUAUCAUAUUGUAUUGUAUCAAGUCAUAUCUUAUCAUAUUGUAUUGUAUCAUAUGGUAUGGAUUCGUAUUGUAUCAAGUCGUAUCAUAACCUAUAGUAUUGUAUUGUGCCAUAUCGCAUCGUAUGUAUCGUAUUUUGUCGUGUCGUAUCGUAUCAUAUCAGUGGCUUGUGUUCGUAUCUAAUCCAAUCUUCAGAACUGAAAAUGAACAAAAAAUAAAAUAGUCACAAAGAUAUAACCAAGUUAAGAGUCUACAGCCACAUUAGUGGACGGUUUAUGUUGUUCGAUAAUGUAAAUAACCGAUCAGAUGUCCUUGUGACCUUAAUAGCAGCCUUAAAUAGCCACCACAAAAGCUGAUAUUUAUUUAUUUUUUCAUAUGAUUAACACAUGAACCUGAUACUGCUUGGUAAUAAACUUUUGACUGUUUCGUAUAACAACAGAUCAUUUUUCAAGUUUCCAACUGGAGGGAAAAAAACCCAAGGGUAGUUUGCAGCUCAAAACAUGUAUUCAGGUUCAAGAGUUCUAACUAAAUAUUUCCCUCUUACUUUAGCGCAGCUGCUUUUAAUGUGUUUUAGGAACGCUCCUAUCUCAGCAAGGAUCACCAGCUCUUCUGUAGAACACCAGAUCAGAGACUAGGUUGGUUUUCAGAGGAGCAAACUAUGGUCUUGUGUUUCAACUUUGAAAUAAGCUGCUUUUGUACUUCUCUAAAAUAGCUGUUUCUCUCACUUCACUAUCAUUCAAGGGAGGUAUCAGUAAAUCUACACAGCUGGAAGAUUGUAGAUCUUUUCUAUCCACCUCUGAUAAGUGUUCACAGUGUGAGACACAUUAGCGUCCAGGUUACCAUUUGUCUUCACAGCAGGGGGCAGUAGUGAAUAGAGUUUCUACUGAAAGACAUGACCAAGUCCACACAGGGACGUCUGGUUGCUGUCAGGAGUUCAUAAACCUUUCUUUUUUUUGUCCCUGUGAAUGUGUUGUUUCUCCUAAAAGUAGAACAGGGCUGUCACGGAUGACGCUGAAGAGUAUUUAACUUGUAGUACCCUAAAAAGUACCAGCUAAUGAGAGCCAAGGGUGGCCAGUGUGCCAGACUUUGAAAAGAACUGAUGGCAAAUAAUUAAACACCAAGUUUCUGUUUCUCCUUACACUUUAUCUAUUUUAUGCAUAAAUUACUAGACUCACAUUUAAAGAUAUCAUCUCCUGGAGUGUCUCACCACAUACACGUUUGCAGAUUUCGAGGACAGUUCUGUUGAAAGUGUUGACUUUUAUGUGUGCAGAAGCUUGAUGUUAAUUUCUCAUGAAAUCUGCUGAAAUUGAAGAUUAUACCAUCAGGUGGUCUCUCUGCUGGUUGCAUGCUCUUACUUGCCAGUUAGCUUGAUUUGCUGCUGUCUGUGCUUCAGUGGAGCAGAGUGGCUCCACAGGGUGGCAGACUGUUGUUGUUCCUAGGUGUUGCUAAACGGCGGCUCCCAGGUUGCUCAGACACCGUCCAAAUCCUCCAUUUCUGCACCUGUUUCCAAGACAACUGACAUUUAAAGGGGCAGCUCUGGUUAUUGACUGUUUGCCCUUCACCGGCUCUCUGCUUGUACUUGAAAACUGUUUGCUGCGACCUGUGACUGUUUUAUUAUUUUCCACUGCAGCCCUCAGCAAACUUACUGCCACUUUGGGGGAGAUGAUAGAGAAUGGAGUGCGACUCAAACCACAGGUGGGCUUUUUCUCUCAUAGAAAAGGCAAAGGCAGCAGGAGAGGAGGCUAACGGGGUCUACGGUUACCCCUCCAGAAAAAUAAAUCAAUAUUGUUAUAGUAACAAUAAUAAAGAACACAUAUAAUACAAACAUAGAUAGUCCAGAUGCAUAAAAACCAUUUUUAUUAUCUCUGUAAAUUGCUUAUAUCAUGACAUUUCAUUAUGUGGGUUAUCAUGACUGUGUAUUUGAUUGGUGGCUUUGUGUCUCUGAAAGUGUAAAUAGAUACAACAUGGACAUACUAUUAAUAGUUUCUUAAUUGGCAGCUUGGUUUGAGUGUUAAAUAAUUCAGUAAAGUACAACAAUUUUAUAUUAAUAAUAAUAAUAAUAAUAAGUGUUUUCAUGUCAUAAGGAACCCAGACAAUGCAAGAACCAUGCAACAUAAAAUGAGACCACGAGGACCAAAAUAAAAAUAUAAAAUAGUUCAGAGAAAAGAAAAUGCAAUUAAAAGGGAGGACAAAAGCGGAAACAGGAUAGUAAAUAUAAAAGGCAAUAUCAACAAUGAUAAUAAAAUAAUAACAGGUAAUCCUGAUAAUAAUAGUAAUGAUGAAAUAGAGUAACAGAAAUGAGCAAGAGAUAAAACAACAAAAGGCCUAAAAGGUUAAUUAAGAAAAAUGUACAAGUAUGAAAAAAGCUAAAAAGACUGUAAAGCCGAAAUAAGAUAGUGAUCUGAGUAAAGACUGUCUGACUUUUGUUAUCGACUGCAAAUGAGAAAUAAUGGCAAAUGUUGACGACUUAAUCCUGGAAUGCAGAUGUAAACUGCUAGAAAGGUGGAAGAAACCGUCGUCCUGCACUGAUAUCUCAUGUUUAAGUCUUCAGCUAAGUAAGCUACUUCAUUCAUGCCCCUGGCUGUUAUAAACUGCAGCUGACGGGCAGUUGCUAUGUAGCGACAGUUUUGUGUUGCUUUUUGCCUGUUGGCAUUAGGGAUUGUGAUCGGGUCCGUUAAAUACCCUGUUUAGCUUCAUUUAAAAAAAAAAAGAAUUGAAAAUUAGUAACAUUUGAGCUUAUCAUGUCCAUCGGGACCAGAAAGAGGCUGGGGUGCAUUUGCAAGUGAGGUAUUGUAAACAAAGAAAGAUAUAAAUAAUUAUUAUAAAUUAGUUUUUUUUGUGCACAAAAAUCGUUCUACAAGACAUUCUGGCCUUUUUUUGACAUGGGGGCGGGGUUAGAUGAUUGGCAUGUCAAUGGGGGCAGGGUUAGAUGAGCCAGUGUCCAGAGAGGAAAUACACAAAACUAUAGAAGAAGAAGUCAAGAGGAUGGGAGUAGGGACCUCUGGUUCACACUCCUGCAUGGUAGGUGGCGGUAUGCACCUCUAACGUUGGUUGCCAUCCGCUCUAAAACAAGAAGAAGAAGAAGUCAAGAACUUCUAUGCAGUUUAACAAGGUUGGCGGACCAGAGCAGUGGUGGAUCAAGUGCAGGAUCUCAGGUAUGUACAGUCAAUAAAUUAGCCUAGAAUGUAGGAUUUAUCAUUUGUCAACACACCAUGAUGCACUCUAGUUUGCUCUGCUCAAGCUGUUGCUAGCACUGACGCUAACUAGCGUAGCCUAGAUAAGGGAAGGCUAACAUUGCUGUUGCUAGGCUAGGGCACUCUUAAUUAGUUCAUAGGAUCGUGUAAUCUGACAUUUAGGGUUAACUAGUAAAUUAAGAGGUCUACAGUACUUCACUUACGUUUAUGAAUCUUUUUUUGUUUGUUUAUAAUCCCUCACUUGUGUUUACAAUGCUUUCCGGCCUCCUUUUGACUCCAUACACAACUGCCAUGGCCAAGCACAUUAGCAUUGUGCAUCAUGUCAAAUUACUGUUAUGAAACAUAAUCCAGAGUUAAAUCUGAUGUUGAAAUCCAUGUUGACAUCAGUAGGACAAAAGCUGACUAACCACAGUGAAGUAUCUUUGAUGACAAAAACCAAGUACACCCAGAAAGAGGAUCUUAUUUUCUAUACUUAUAUCAGUUCUACUCGGUUGUUGUACCAAAUGCUAUAUUUCCGAUAGUUAUAUUUCUGUAAGCAGCUACCAUUUUGCCUUGUCUCCUUUGUUUCAUUGCCAGAGAAAGAGAGACAAAGGGUGGGUUUGAGUCACUCUCUACGCUUAAUGUGGGAAAUCAGCCUAAAUGGGGCAACCCAGUGACUGCGGAGUAAGUGAGAAACAGGUUUAUGUAGACACAGGAACCCCACAGUGUAACCACCAUGCCACCAAAUUAAAAUGAAACCACAGAAGAUGAAUGUAGUGGGUGAGUUUUCUUCCCUCCUCUUCUCCUGAUAUUCCCAGCUAGAAGCCGCCCUUCAAUGCUGUUUUAAGUUAUCAACACAGAGCCUGAUGUCUCAACCAGACUACGGUUUCCUUUGGGUGAUGCUGUUGAAAUUAUACAGUAAUAGGUGAAACCAGCCAAGCAGGAAUAAUGGGGUUUCUCUCCACAGAUUAGCGGCACAUGAAGGUUUUGUAACAGGCGAAAAAAAUCCUUUUCUUCUCCAGAGUAACACAAAAUCACACAGUUAGAAAACAGAUCAAGUAUUGUCUUCUGCAAAAAGAAAUAGAAUAGUGGAUAUUUCAGCAGAAACAUGAAGAAUUUUAGGAGUGAUUUGUUGAUAAUAAGGAUGAUCAGUAUUUGACCUGAUAUGCAUCAAAAAUCCAAAGUGAUUGAAGAGUUAUCCACACAUUUACUCUACGCUGCGGUCUUCUAUACAUUGAGCCUACAGUCUAUUAGACAGCAGGAUACAUCAAGUAACAAAGAGUAAAAACUACCAACCUCACUGGCUUGGUUAUUUUCACAGUGCUUUAUUCUUACAGAAAUGUGUAAUUUAAAUCAUUUUCCUCUUUUACACCACACAUGGUUGACUUUUUACCUUUUUUAGCUCCUAGUAACUUCCACUCUAGCCCACCUGGGUGCCAUGUUUCCGCAGGCAAAUGUACUUUAGAUCAUACAAUAGAACACUUUCAGCCAUCUUUUCCCUGAUAUGUUUUUUUUCUUCUUUUCAUUUCAUUUUAUUUAUUCAUCUGGUUUAUUUAACCAGAUGAAUAGUUUUAGUCAUAGCUAGCAAGGAUAUGUUAGCAACAGCUCAGCCUUAGGCUGUGCCACAUACUCACUUUGUUUCCUUCUGUCUCGAUCUUUGCUUGGGUUGAACUUACUCUAGGGUGACCAUACGUCCUCUCUUACCCGGACAUGUCCUCUUUUUUGCGGGAUGUCCGGGUUUGUCCAUCUUUGUCCGGGGAAGUUUGUAAAAUCCUUCAAAUGUCCGCAGUUUUGUACGCAAGUUUUGAUUUUGUGUCAUGUGGACUUAUUGAGUUAGAAGCGUGUGAAAGACACUUGAUCUGACCUUAAAAACUCCCCAAAUUAACUCUGUGUGACUUUGUGACCUGUUUCCUCUUUUUGGAAAGUCAGAAUAUGGUCACCCUAACUUACUCUCAAAUGUGUUUCAAUGUGGACACAAUCAUCUACAAAAUGAAACUGUAAAACUGAAUGUUAACUCUCAUACAUAGCUCAAAUGCACAGUGGAAAUAUAUUAAAGUAAAAAGCAAAAACAAUCAUUUUCCAGAGAAGUACCAUUAGAGGGAUAUUUGAUACAGACUAAAACAUAGUCUGACUGCUGUUAGUUUUACAUGAGACAUUUGGUCUCACAUUUAGAUCUGACAUUUUCCCCUUGUCACUGUUGAAUCUCCUUCACCUUUAAAAUUAGGUGAUCCAGUUAUUGCAGUCUGGAUUGAGUGAGAAAUAGCAAUAAAGAAGCUUAAGAAAUAAUGUAAGACAGGUGAGCAGAUGUCCAGCAUAUGCGCUCUUUCUCUAGCAGUGGGUCUCUGCCAUUGUGAGUCUCACACCAUCCUGUAGUUGUAGUUUCUUUCACAGUAGUAUGGCCUUCAGUUUUCACAUGUUGUAUCACAUGCAGACCAGUAGCAGAGCAUGUAAAAUAGACUUUCAGUGCCAUGUGGAUUAAAUAAGAUGACUUUCACUUAAAUUUUCUUAAUGUAGUGUUACAUUGGUUAUAAUGGAGGAGGCAAGCUCUAAGACCUUUACCACAGCUGGUCACUGGGGAACGUUAUGGAGGUUUUGGCUUCAAUCAUGACAGCUGUUAUCCUGUCCAUAUUUUCAUAUAGUCUGUUGACUUGCACAGUGUGUUUUAGAGCUCAUUUGUUGGAGAUAUGAGUAACUUUUUUUUUAAAAGACAAAUUCAAUUUUUUAGAGCUAUUUACUGGGUUAACUUGAUAUGUAAUUACAUGUAAUCUGCAAAUGUGCAUUUUUUCAUGGGAAAAUUAGAGAUUUUCUCAGUUGUAUGUUGACUCAUUUAGCAGAAGGUCUGACCUUAGCUGAUGUUGGUUUGGUUGUAAACCCUUUUAACUCUUUACUGAUGAUGAACAGUUUAAUUUUACAGUUAGCCCAACUCUAAAACAAGAAAAAAAGAUCCUUUAAAUUCCUCAUUUGUUUCAUUUUUGUGACUUUAAUGUAAGAAAUAUUUUGAAUGGACCAGCCUGGAUUCUGUCUGUAACAUGUAUAUUAACAUCACUUUCAUUACUCUACUCUCUUUCACUCUAUCAAGUAAAUCAAGUAUAGAGGUUAUGCUUUCAAGAGGAACAAAGAGAAGGAGCAAUUUCCUUUUAAAUUUAGUUCUUUUCACAGAGGCAAAGUUGGCUUUAAACAUAUUAUUAAAAAGAUUGGGUGGACACAGUAGCCUGGACCCAAUUUCAUUUUCUGAACUUUUAACUUUCUGUGAAAUGUCUGCAAAGAUAUUUUUAGAGCUUCAAAACUCAGCAUAAAUCAAAGUUUUAUAAGGUGACCUGAUUGGAUUAGACUUGCAAAAUAGUACCUCACGUACCCUUUGGAUCGAUGCGUCGUGGCAGAAAUUGUGUUUUUGUUCAAGAAAUUAUGUUGAGAAUAUAACAGACAAAAGGCUGGUUUUCCAAAGUUUUGAGAAACUUGGAAAAAAGGCAGCGUGGCAGGGAACACACAGCUGUUUGGAUCUGACUGUCGCACUCAAAAUAAGCUGAAGAGACAAUUCACUGAGUCGGCAUCCGUGUAGGAUUUUGUAAUUAGAGCAUUAAGCAAACGUUAAUCAUUAUGAAGACUUACAGCUGUACAAAAAUCAGUCCUGCAGUUGGGAGAAAAAGGCAUCAUUUCAUGCGCCGGGCAAUUUUGUCUUAAGCAAUAUCAGUCUGUGAAUAUCUGAGUUUGCGUGUUUUUUCCACUAAUGAGGCACUUAAAGUGACAAAACAGGGAAUAUUAAGAUCGAACAAGUAAAUGAGAAGGACAGAACUAGAUCACACAAGCUGCUUUGCUGCAUCUGUUUACAUUUACAUGAGUUUUUGUGCCAGAAAAGAAUAUUUUAUCUGAGUAAUUUCUCUAUGAUGACUGCAGACGUUUUAUCUGAAGGGCUUUAAUGUUGGAGGGAUUUGUCCAUUCAAGGCACUCCUUACAAAAUAUUCUGCUACCACGUUCAGAUCUUUUUGAGAUGCCAUGUGACGUGUCUUUAAAGGUCACGCAUACAACACUUGUCAGCUUGUAAAAGGCCCAUGUAAAAUUUAGGAGAGAGGGGCAGCUGAGAGGCAAGCGGACAGAUACGAGACAGGUUAAUUGAGCGAAAGACAGGCCACUUGAUGCAUAUUCACCCCAACAUACUUCUCCUGGCAAGGGCUCGCAAGGUCACCAAGAUAAAAAAGCAGAACCGUGAUGGUGAAGUCCCACUUUCCCCUCUCCCAGAGUUACACCAGCCUCCCCCUCCCUCUUCUCUUUGUUUUUUUUGGACUCUUUCUCUUUCUGUCUCUUUCACUCUCCUCUCCCUGUGUCGACUCCCUGAUCGGGCGGCAGACAGCGUGUAAGUGCUCUAACCCUGAGAAGUCUCCAGGAGCUCUUGUGAUUGGCUCUGCUUUGCAGCACAGUUCACAAUCGAUUAAGGCACGGUGAGCUCCCGUUAACAGCUUUUCUCUGCUGCUCCUGUGGCUUUGAUACUGUCACAGAGACUCCAACUUCGCUCUUAACCCUUCAACCACUGUCCUCACACACACACUCUCUCUCUCUCUCUCUCUCUCUCUCUUUGUCUCUCUCACUUUCUCCCUUUCACUUUCAAAGCCUCUGACUCUCUCACUGUAUUGCCUCUCAAAGAUACCUCAUACAACUCUCACUCUCUUUUUUUUUUUAAGUUCUAACUCUUAAGUUACUUAAAGCUUCUCCUCCUCACACUCACCUUGUCCUGUCAUCUUAAGUUUCACUCAAGUUUUGUGUCCUCGGGGAGAAAGAGCAAAAAGACGAGAACGAAAAACUAAGAUAUAAAAGGAGAAAUGUUCUCUAUAGCAAUCAUGGAAUAAGUUGCCAAAUAAAAUGGAUGAUGUCUUGCAUGAAUUUGAAUCGGUGCAACUGUACGCAAGGGUGUCACAGUUGUAGGGAAUAGUGAAGUUGACCAUUCACAGCCCCACAGCGCAAUAUCCCCAAGAAUUGAAUUCAUAUUGUGCAAUUUUUCACCACACAAUUUGUAACCACUCAAGUGCAGGAGGUCCAGGAGUUUUCCAUGCGGGCAGCAUGCCGCAAAUAAAGUGUGGAAGCAGAGUAGCUGAGCACGAGAGUGUGUCAUGAAUUUUUGAAUGCUAACCAAGGUCUCCCUCUCAGCCAUAGACCUACAAUAGUAUUUGCUUUUUAUGACCUAUAAGCAGCACUUUACUUACUUUAACCAUACCAUAACCUGUAUAGGAAGUAUGAACUGGCCCUUUGGUCAGUCUCUCUGCCAAAGACGGACUCUUGGAUCCUUGACUCAGGACACUCAGAUGAGUCAAAACAUCCAUCUUUUUGCUAUUGCAGAAGCCAAUGAGUAGCAGUCACAGGUAGCCUGAAAUUGCAAAACUGAUGAGUAUUUGGUCUGAAACUGCUCAGUCUAAUUUUUGUUUCCAAGGUGUGUUACCAACCACAGUAGCUCAAUUGUUAUUAUUUCUUAUGUAGCAUACAUUCAUAGUAACAGUUAUCUCAGGAUAUUUGGUGUAGAGAGUGGUUAUUUGUUUGUCAAAUUUCAAAAACUGGAUCAUAGAGGAUACCCAGGUUUCUCACCUGAGUGUGUAGUCGAGGUGCCAAUUAAUGAGCUAUUUUCUGUGUGGGAUCAGGGGGACCUGGCAGAAUUUCAUCAUUGAGCUGUAGUGCGUUCUUUGUCAUCCACUGUUUGACACGGUGGAGGCAGGGUUUGAGUUGAUACUGCCAGCAGGGUCUGACGGAGGUAUAAGUGGGUGUCAUCUGCAUAGAAUAGAAUAGAAUAGAAUAGAAUAUUCCUUUAUUGAUCCCCCAUGGGGGAAAUUUUUUUGUCAUAGCAAUAGAGUAAAAUGUUGUUUUUUAAAAAUUGGAAUUUAGAGAGCCCACAUACACACGGGGGAUUGUACAGGCUCUAUUAUAGAGCCUUGAUGUACUCCGCAAGUGAUAGAUGAUAGUGACAGUGCUGUGAUGUACCCUAAAUUAGAUUGAAAUCAAUUUCUAGUAAUGACAGCGGCUAGUGAUAAACCAUUUUUUUCCAAUUUGUUUAAUAGAAAGGGCAUCUUUGAAAUGGAACAAAUAAUUUAAAUUUUAAAUAAAUGAAAUUAUUUAAACUCUUGAAUUAAAGGUUUGAUUUUUUAAAAUAAAAGAAUGAACCACUGGAUGCUGAUAGAAGGAAGAGAUAGAGCCAUUUGAUAGACUGCUUGUAAGGAUAAGGGAAACUGCGGGUCCUACUAUGUCAAACUCUUCCACCAGGAGUCAUGUGAGGACAAUGCCAAGAGGAGAAGUAGUGGGUUUAUUGUGGAGUUCACAUCUUUAGUGUCAUCAAGAGACUCUAGCCCAAACCUACUAAGGACAGCUGAGGAGUUUAAUGACUACAACCCAGUUUCCAAACUCUGAGCUCUUGCGAAGUUCUUUGAGAGUGAAGUGAAUUUAAAGUUGAAGCAUUUUUACACAAGAUGAAAAUAUUUCUGAUCAAAACAUUAGACGGACAACAAAAUUCUGCUGCUUUAUUUGUAGAUCUUUGCAAUACCAGCUUAAGUUUGAAGACUAUUACUUGAUUUAGAGAUAAUUUUGCAGAUCAAACUCAGAGCGUCUAUGCAGAGGGCCAAAAAUCUGAUUUCUAAAGGUGUCCCCCAGGGCUCAGUUUUGGGACCCAUUCUGUUCUUUGUUUCUAUAAAUGACCUGGACAAGAAUAUCGAAGCACUAAUCCACCUCUAUGCUGAUGAUACUGUCAUCUAUACCCAUGCUCCUCCUGUUAUAAAAGUGCUGCAAGAGCUUCAGACAGCAUUUCACUCUUUACAAACAGCUCUACUGAAUGUUCAUUCCAUCUUUGAAUGCCCUAAAGACAAAAUUCAUAGUUUGCUCCAAAAACAGAUUCAUUGCAACAACGAGAUGAUUUUAAUAUAUUGUCACCACUGAAGGUAGACUCUUUGAAAAUGAGACCUCCUACGAGUACUUGGAUAUUUAAAUAGACAACAAACUCUCAUUCAAUGUACUAAUGUGGUUAAAAAGCUUAAAUUAAAGUUUGUUUUCUUUAAGAAAUAAAUUGUGCUUUACUUUCAGUGAUGAGAAGAAAACGUGUGGAGGCUGCAUUUCUGUCUGUGAUUAGUGAUACACUGUACAUGCUUCCUUCAUCAUCCACUUUUCAAACCCUGGACUCUGUGAAUCAUUUAUCUCUUUGCUUUAUUACUAACACAAAAAACUCUCACUUACUUUUGCAUUCUUGAUGAUUCAGUAAAUUCACAAUUUGCAGACAACACUUGUUUAUUUUCACACAUAAUGCAGUACUUGGAAAACUUCCAUCCUGCCUCUGUACUUCGCUCUUCACCAGCUCUCCUCUAAUCUGCAGCUUUUUACUGUCCCUUGAGUUCUGGCAGAUCUUGGGAAAACUUCCUUUUCCUAUAACACUCUUUGGUCUUCAAAUACAGCUGUAAUUGGACAUAUUAAUAUCCCUUACAUUUGCAAAUCACAUGUCGACCUUGAUGGUUGAAUAAGUGAGCAUUAAAUUCAACGAAAAUAUCAAACUGCAACCAAAAAUACAAACAGUGUUUAAACCUACAUGAUUGUGUUCAGGGCUGUCACUUCAGCUAACAGGUUCUGACGGCGCUCUCCUUCCUGUCUGGUCUUAAUCAACCAUGUCAGCAUCCAGAGAUAUCACUGCCAUUGUAGUCAGAGCUUCAAAGCACAAGUGGUUUGCACAGUCUUUCUUUUCUGCUCUUGUGCAUUAUGUUUAAAACUGCUGCCUUCACAAUGAGUCAUCACGUAAACAUCACACAGCCUAUUAUACUCUGCUGUUAUGCAUAAAUAAAAUGCACUGAAAUUAUAUCUUUGUAGAGACAGGAUUCCAAGUGCGUAAGGAAAAUAACCUUGAAGAGAUGUGGUCACGAUUAUCAUUUCCUUUUCUUUUCACUUCUAAAAUAAACAACUUGUCAAAAUUGUGAGUCAGAAACGGGUCAGAGCAGAUGUGACCAGAGUUAAAAUGUAGUAAAAAUGAUUGAAGUUUGGUCCUAGGUGAUCAGACCUGAUUUCAGUGUGUUUUCAACCAAAUUUCAGUGUGGAAAUCUUAGACUGUUUAUACUUUGGACAACUUGGUUCCACCUUCCGCCAGUAUACGUAUUUGAAGCCAAAAAUCUUAGUUAUUUCAGGUUUUUUCACCACUCUCAAUCAUAGAAAACAUGAACUUUCAAAUAACUUUUAAAAACAGAGCUGCACAGAAAAAAGAGGACUUGAGCACAAACCAGUUUUACAAUAUCUACAUGUCAACAUCACAAGCAGGGGAAGGAAACAUUUGUAUUCUGUGUAAUUUAUUUCUAAAUUUUGUCCUCAGCUCCGUAGAGAUUGCUGGAGGAGGCCGGAUUUAUGACCUAUACUGCAGCCCAUCACCAGAGGGUGCUGUACUCGCGAGGAGGCAGACGGUGUCCAUGCUAUAUACAGUCUAUGACUCAAACCAAAUCAAUCUUGUCUGUACGUUUGUGUUGUUUUUUUUUUAUUUGCAUUUGAGUUGGGAUGCACACAUAAUCAAAGGAAAGAUAAGGAGCUGGGUAGAGUUUUGGUUUAGGUUCAAAGUUAAUUUUCUUCCCUUUAAUGUGGAAAAAAGUCCAAACGUAAUGUGCAAUAAUCAAUACAUACCUGCUACCACAGUGGAAGACAUGACUUCUGUGUGUCUCCACUGCUAGCCUUGUGUUUGGUUGUAAUUGUAAAUGACACCUGGAUAAAUAUAGCAUAAUAAAAUUCCUCCCUGCACUCUCCUUUUUUCCUCUCUAGCAAUUAAAUGAUCACUCUGUCUUAGCUUUUCUCUUCUACGCAGUCAUCUCCACCUCCUCAGGAUGAGAGGAAAAAAUGUCUCUGGUUAUGCAUGAGUAGAAAUGCAAUUCAUACUAAACUACGAUCAAAAUGUGAAAUUUAUAGCUUUUUGUGAGGCUGUUCAUGUUGCACGCGGCAAUAGCAGACAGCAUCGCCUGAAGAAAUUAUGUGGGUUUUUUUUUUUCCCUCCUGGUUUUUAUUGUGAAAAGGCACUGAACCAUUCUCUCAGAAACACAAAGGAUGUGCAGUGAGAGAGGCCAAUGGCUCGAUCUGCCCAGACUGAGUGUUCUUUUCUUCUGCCCUUUUUUUCUAUUUUCUCUUUUGUGGCUAACAGAAAAAAAAUGCUUUAAGUGGCAUUUAACUUGUGGCAAACAUCGCCUGCAGCAGCUGAACACUCGACAUGUUCCCGCCAUAUGUGAACAUGUCUUCAUACCUGAUUUAUUACGGUUCUGUUUUAUGAGGCUCAUUCAUCCAAACAAAUAUGUCUACUGUCAAAUUUCGGUUGUUGUUUGUUUUUCUUGUUGUUUGUUGACCCAUAGACCCUCCGAGUCGACCUCUCUCUACAGACAGUGUUUUCUAUGAUAUAUUCAUAGUGUUUCUUCUCUUUCAACAGUGUUUGUUUGAACAUAAGAAUGUGCUGCUUUCGCUCAACACCUCAUGCAGGUAUUCGUUUUAAAAAAUAGUCCUCAGAAAAAGGCUUGGGAAUGGCUUUCUUGAGGUUUAUAAAACAAACAAAGUUAAAAAAUCUAUUAUGUAUUACUCUGCUGACUUAAAUUUGAAGAUUUAGAUAUGAUCGUUCCAAAGUUGAGGCUCAAAUCUAAAGGAGAUCGAACUUUUUCCAUCAGGGCUCCUUGACUUUUGAGCGACCUACCUGAGGAGAUGAGGAGUUGAGGAGAAUCAGUGAUGUCUUUUAAAUCACUCCAGACUUUCUGACUCACUUUAACAGACUUGCUUUUACCUGGUUUUGAUUUUUUAACCACUUUUCAAUUUGAACUUUUUUAUUUUAUUUUGAAACUUUCUUUCAUAUAUUAAUACUUUUGAUCAAACCAUUUGUUUGCAGUAGUGAUGCACGAUAUGAAAAAUUUCAACCGAUACCGAUAACCGAUAAUUUUCUUCUUCUCAUGGCCGAUACCGAUACCGAUAACCGAUAAAUUCAUAUUUUUACAUUUAUUAUAAUCUUCAUAUAAUCUGCAGUUUGUGCAGGAUGCAGCGAUUGAAAACUGAUGUUUUUGUUGCUCUGGCCUAUCUAGAACAACAAACAAAAGUUUUUGGCUCUUCAAAUGUGGUCAUUUGCUAUAAAUAACAAUAACAGAGCAAAAAGCAGAACUUCAUUUGAUCCCCUGAACUGUUCAACAGAACUGUAAACUGUAAAGGAGCUAUUAUGAGACGUUAGGCUUAGCAUGCUGACCGGACUAACAUCUGACGUCCAUAUGUCUGUGGUAAAACUCACGUGUAGUCCGUUCUUGUCGAUCAGGUUGUGAAUGUAUGUGGCGACAAUAUCAUAAAGUGCAGGAAGAGACACAUCCGAGAAGAAGCGGCGGCUUGGGAGAGUGUAACGUGGCUCCAAGUGUGCUAUUAACUUGCGAAAACCCGGGUUCUCAACGACGGAAAAAGGCUGGUCGUCGACCGCUAUGAACUCCAUCACUUUGUCGUUAAUGGCUUUAGCCUUUUCGCUGUCUCUUGAGAAGCUUUUGCAGUUUUUAAACGCCCGCUGAAUGGGGACAUCGAUCCUCCGUAGUGUUGUUGUCUUAGCUUUAGUACCGCUAGCAGCUUCGGCGGCUGUCUCAUAUUCUUUUACUACCGCUUCGCCGCGAUGGCGACUUUUCAGAUGAGCUAUCAGAUUCGCUGUGUUAAUACUUGACGUCUUCUUUCCUCCUCUCGGAAUCCUCGCUGAACAGGUUUUGCAUAUAGCAAUGCUGUUGUCAUCUUCUGCCACUGAGAGACACGACCAUGCUGGUGAAGACAUUUUAUUAUCUGUCAGGUAGUGACGGGGUCAGGCUUGGGACCUGCGAGUAAGGUGCGAUAGAUGACGUAACCAGCGCGUCUCGGACGGGCGGCUACUCCGCCUGCAAACGUUACUCGUAAUUUCAUUAAUAUAUCGGAUCUUUCUAUCGGAAAAAUGCACCUAUCGGACCGAUAAAAAAUGACGUAAUUUCCCCCCAAAUCGGCCGAUAUUCUAUCGGUCCGAUAAAUAUCGUGCAUCCCUAGUUUGCAGGUCCUCAUCUGAUCCUCCCUUUACUGUUUUGAUUACAUUCUUUAUAUUAAGUUACUUAUUUAUUCCUUUCUUUAUGGGAUAGUUUAUUUGUAUCUCACUGCCCCUCAUCUUUGUGAGGUGUUUUUAUUCUGUGAUGUGAUGCUGUCUACCUUUUUUGUUUUUCCUUUUGUCUAUUUUUCCUUCUUUUUACCUCUCCCUGGAAUCUUUUUUUGUCCCUAAAAAGCAAAUUUUUCAUGAUUUCUGCCACUUUUUUUUGCUAUGAUUAAUAAAUUAUUUUUCCACUUAUGAUUAUCUAAUUAGCUUUGUCUGUCAAAGUACCUAAAAACUUCACUUCUGUGCAGCUGCUUUGUGUUUGCAAUGAGGAUAUCAAAUCUUGUAACCUGGCUGUUUUGAAUUCUUGAUUCUGAUUGGUCAAACUUCUUGAGAGGAGUUCAGCCCAGUUCACCUCUGCCUGUUGACAAUGUGGCAAAAAUACUAUUUGGUGUCUCCGCCUGGUUUUGAGCGUUAGGAAAUAAUGACAGUGAGUGGGCUCAUCUGUGAGAGGAGCAACAGCGCCCCAACCAAGGAAUCAGCAAAUACUUUAACUAAGGUGACCAUAUUCUGAAUCCGUAAAAAGAGGACACAACUACGCAGGGGCGGAGUCACGGAGUCGUGGAGUCAUGCUCAGUUAAUUUUGAGAGUUUUUCGGGUCAGGUCGAGUGUUUUUUACGCACUUCUAACUCAGUAAGUCCAUGUGACACAAACUCAAAACUUCCAAACAAAACCUCGGACAUUUGAAGUAUUUUAUAAACUCCCCCGGACGAAGCUGGACAGCCCCCCAAAAAGAGGACAUGUCCAGGUAAAAGAGGAUGUAUAGUCACCGUAACUUUAAACCUUUUCUCUGGAUAUCAAAAUAAAUGCGUAAUUUCACUACUUUCUCAACUACAUAGACAACAAAUUUUCCCUGAGUCAAUUAUUUGCUUAAAAAACCCGACAUCUGCAAUUUCAUGGUGACUGUGAGGAUGUGAUUUGAUCAAAAACUUCAGAGGAGGUUAGAAAUGGACAUGGUGGUGAGAUGAUUCUGGCAGCUUUUCUGUCACUUCUGUGGUGAUGAUAAACAAGUUUCCCUGCCCGGCAUGUGUAAACCAUGUUUAAAUACAUCACAGAGAAAAGCUGACAGACUUGAUAGCCCACUCAACACCAACAUUUUCUCUCCUGCUUCAUCUCCAUGACUUUAAAAUCACAGAAAUGUCACAUGAAUCUCCCCAAAAACACAGACUGCAGAGGAUUAUGGCAGAGCAGCGUGUCUGCUGUGCAACAGGUGAUGACAAUCUUCAUCACAGACUGACAACAAACAAUCAACCUGCUGUUGUCUUUUUUAUGCCCAGAGCCCUUCGGGUGUUGUAGUUAGUGCUGAUCUCUUCAUCGGUGUGGCAGCAAAGUGCUGAUGAUGGCAGGUGUAAUGGAAGGAUGAGGAUCCAAUGCUGUGGGAGCAGACAUGACCUCCAGGGCCUCGCUCGCUGUGUUUGUUUGGAGAUGGAUCUUGUUGGGACCUUGCCGGUGUUCGGUGUCCCCUGCUUGGCUCCUCUCGCCUCAGAGCUGUAAUCACAGCAGACUGCAUGUCACAGCGUCCUGCUCUAAUUGGCCUGUCACUCUCUGUUUGCCGGGAGGGGGGGCGGCGCUGGCCUUUGUGAGGCUGCCAUGGCGACUGGGCCAUUUAAUGAGAACGAGCACGCUGUGACUAAUGACAUCCCUGAGCCCAUCGGAUAUACUGCAAAUGGACAAUUUGCUGCAUCACUCACACACUCACACAACAAUACACAAACAUGGAGGUACACACCUCAGUGUGGUCAAAGCUCAUUGAAUAGAGGACACCUCUCACCAUGAAUCAAUACAUGACAAGUGGACUUCAGUGUUAUGCAAAAGCUAUCAUCCAUUUUUAUAUACUUUAAGCAUUAAUAGCUUUAUCUAAUAAAGCAGCUGCUAAUGUAAUGCGGUGAUAUUAACUACAGCUUAAAAUACACAUUAACUGUAACGAGGGUCAUUGCUCAGGGGACUCUAAUGAUAGACGUGGAGAAUAUCAUCUAGAACAGGAGUACGGAUCUAAAGCUGGCUCUGGAAACACAGUCAGCCGUGUUUGCUGAGAGAGGGGGACAAAAGAGAAAUUUGCUUGUUCAUCUUCCAUCGCUGCACAUCUUCCAGUUUAUUGGUCCAUUAGUAACAAAGUGACAAAACAAACUACAUGGACAUCUAUCAAGUAUAUCAUUUCCGUCACUGAGCAGAAACCUGUCUCAUUUUUGAUUUAUCAGAGGGUGACAACAUGCCUAAAAAAAAACAACAAAUGAUCACAGAGUUUCAGGUCAAAAUGCAGUCAAGCUUGUACAGCGAACACUUUAGGACCUUUGUUUGAAUGCUGACAAAAUCAAUAACCUUUUCUUAUUAGUUUAAAAUGAUUAUCAGAGUUAAGUCGCAGGCUGAUGGCAGAUAGGACCCAAAUGCAGACUAAAGUCAACCAAUGCAGGUAUCAUUCAGCCGCCCACUCUCAGUCAGUGCGUUUGCAUGCACAGUUUAAUCGGACUAAGCUCAUAAUUCGUUUUUUUAUCGCCAAUUCGAAAUUCUCUCCUUGUCCGCGUAUACAUGCAGCUGAGGAAAUUGAAUUAUUGAUAUGAACGUGUCAUCUUCCCCAGAGCUAGGGGGCGAUAUAGGGCUUUUUCGGGUUGACACAACAAAAACAACAGCAGGUCCGUGCCAGACGUCAGAAGUGGCUUCAACUGCUGCUGGGCAUUUUCAGGCAAGGAGAUUGAGCAUCGUAUAGUGUUGUUUUUGUCGUACAUGAUGUACGCACUACUUUCGUACGGACGUCGGAGCAUGGCGGAUAAAUUCAGAACACAGUAGUUCCGGAAAGGAAGUCGGGCACAGAUACAAAAUAACACAUCCAGCUUCUUUUCAAAAUAAAACACUUUGUGUUUCAGGUGGGCGGGGACGGACAAGUGAAAGGUUUUUAGACAGCGUUUCACCUCGAUUACACCAUGGAUGAGUAGAUGCUGAUUUUAGUCUAGAAGUGGAUUUCCUCUUCUGGAAAGACACAAUCUACUGCUUUUAUGGUUAUGUGGCUGUCUUUAUAGAGACAACUUGUUAUCCCGCGAUUGCACGUGAAUCCGCGGGUUCUUGUGAGUUCUCGUGAUUACCGCUGUCUGUAAUCUGCCACAAAAUUCGGAUCUGGUAGGAAGUGGCAGACAGCAAAAAUCGCCGCCAUUCCAGAUCGGAACUGUUCUGGAUAUGGUGGAAAUUGGGGGUGACAGACUCUGCUUAGUUACAACGUAAAUGUAGUGAUAAUAAUAACUUGUAUUAUCUAAAUAUUAAUUGUCUGUUGGGAUAAUAUCAUUUGACCAUGAUUACGGUUCGUUGUGCUAGCAGACUGACCUAAAAUGUAAGAAGCAGCAUCCAAGUAAAGGAAAUGAGUGAACAUCUAAGUAAACCACAGCUCUGGUGAUUCCUGUUGCCUUUAUAACUCAUGCUGUAUCUUCAGCCCCAUACAGCCCCAUCAUAGGGCCUGCUUUGACAGGGGCUGAACAACGCUACAUUGGUUUAGACAGGCAUAUGGAGGAAAUCAAAGAAAGAGACCCUGCUGUUAUCACACUCUGUGCACUUAGACUCAUUAUCAUUAAUUAGUGCCUUGGUGAGGCACCGUUUCCACAGUUCAACAUGCUCGCAAAAUCAAAACAUGAAUCGAAAUGCCAGGGAAAAUCUGGCCCUCGCUGCAAUCCCCAGUUAAUCAGCAGUGAUAAUGUUUUGCUAAACUCUAAUCUUGUCUGUGAAUAUUAAUAAGGGCUCUGAGGGAUCUCAGCUGAGUGAUGAGAGAGUGUGCUGGUGGCUCCGGCCGAAAAAAAAAAAAAAAGAAAAACGACGGCCAAACAGAUUGUUAAACCACUCAGCUCUCACUUUGGCUGUCUUUGUCUCCCUCAGUGGCUCUUCACUGUGAAAGUGACUGUUUCAGUAGCAGCACUGGGGUUUUGUCAACAAACGGCCAUUUUGCAUGCAUCACCCACACAGCCAUGAGACACACACACAAACACACACACGGCUGAACACAAAAAGAUGGCAUGCAUGAGAUUAGAGAGUACACCUCUCUGAAUAGUGAAGCUUUUUGUCCUCUUGAGUGUCCCGGGAUGAUUAGAAGCGAUAUCUCUGAAGGGCAUCAGGAAUGUUUACAGCCCAUGUAGCCUUUGAGAAUCGAUAAUGACAUGAAGACCCUGGGCAGGUUAAUGGCGUGUGAAGGGACUGUUAUGUAUAAAAUCCAGAUUGUUGCUUGUAGAAAUGGUGCAUGCAUCACAUCGCGAGUACUGAAGUCUGACUGCUGCGGCUGAACCGAGCCUGGCCUGUGACCCUUGUCGAGAUGCGACGUCAAAAUAAGCCGAAUCAAUCAUGGGGGGAGUGUUCGGCCAUUACAGGCCAAAUGAGAUGACCAGCAGUCAUGCCUAUGGGUUUGCCUCCAUUUUAUAACAUAUUACAAACACACUGAUGACAGUGGCAGCUGAGGGUGUAUGUCUUCAGGAAGCACUAUCCUGGGUUAGGUAACCAUAACAAUAAACCAUAAAGGGAAAAAAAGCACCUUGAGAUCUGCACCGGGGGCCAGUAGUCGCCUCUCUCUUGUGGCUAACCAUCUAUGGUUUGCUUUCUAGCGGGGGGCAUCCUGGGCUGAUGGGACAUGCAACCCCUUGGAGGUGAAAUUUAUUGGUAUGGAUUUUUUUUCCUGCUACUGGUGCAUUGAAUCAGUGUGACCAAGCAGGCGGGCAGAAGGAAAUGGGGCUGUUCUUAGAGUGAAUUAUACGCAGUCACACACUCAAUUUAGCCCUGCAAACCUAGUUAGGGAGGGAGCAGACAUGGCGGCGUACACAUGCUGUGUUGUACCCCCGUAUAUACGCCUCUCCAAACACAUUUACUCAAAAAUUAGUAAACAGGAUUAGGAACACUAGAUUUAGACCAAAAUUAAACUCAGUUUAUCAUUACUACAUCUAAUUAAAUUCUUGCAGCAAGCUUCUCAAAAAGGGAAACAGACGUGUUUAGAAUCAAAUAAAAACGUUAAAAAACGGCAUCCUCAGAUAAGUCCAAACAUCACUGAUUCAAAUGUAGGUAUACGUUAGCUCAUGUCAUUUAAUUCCAGCAGAAACAAAAGCUCCUCAUGCAUAUUAAACCCCAACACUACACCAGCCCACCACAUAAUUGACCGUGUUACAGCCGGCAGCCUCGCACACAGACAGAGAAGAACUAGGUUGCCAGGCUGUUGUGUUUGAUCUGGAUGACUGUGUUGAAACCUCUUAAUGCCAGUUUAUAUAAAAUAUUCAUCUUCAUUUCGCAGGCCAUGAAUCAUCAAGGUGUUUCUGGCCCUCCGCCCCCGCUCCUGUCCUGUGGCGGAGCAGACAGCUGUUUGAAAUUAGACACCAGAUUGUGUUACUUAAACCGCUAGCAGGAGUGAUGCUGAUCGCUCUCUAACCCAGCAUGCAAUCUGUUAGCGUGCCGCAUCGUGGGAAUGUGAUCAUGAGUGUGCUCUUGUAGUAUUUAAAGCCUGGCCUGCCUCCCAACCUACGGCUCGUAUCUAUACAUUCAUACUGAAGUGCUACUGCGUUACAGCAGAUGUAAGACAUACUAAAUAAUUCAACUGACAGUUUAUACACCGCUCAUUCAGUAAUUGGGGACAUUUUGCUAACAAAAGCCUUUAUUAAAACUAUCAAAAUGCUCACAGUCAGUUUUACUGUAAUGGAUGCUGAGUUGUGUCAUCUGUCUGUUUACUUAUUUAUCCUGGUCUGAGACAUGCUGGUGCAUUUUUCUCCAGGGGGGCUCCAUAUAAGCAGAUAUCACACAGGUGUACUGAGAAAGGCAUUUCUUUGUAUUUGAUUAGCUGGAUGAACAUGGAUUUUUCCAAAUGGACCUCAUGGAAGUGAUUCAAAUCAUCCAAAUCAUCCUAUCUCUCUGUAUUUCUGCCCAACUCAGCAACAAUGAGGUGGCCGUCUAACAUGAGUCUGGUUCUUCCCAAGGUUUCUGCCUGUUAAAAGGAAGUUUUAGUUCAUGUUAGAUGAGAUGGUCAAAUCUGUCCCAUCUCAAGGUUGGGUCUUGGUAAUUCAUCAAACAAUGAGCGUGGUCUUGACCGCCUUUUUUUUGAAAAGCGUCUUGGGAUAACAACAGUUGUGAAUUGGCGGUAUAUGAAUAAAAUCUGAUUUGAUUUGAUUUGAUUUGAUCAGUCAUUGCUUUCUAAAACCAAACUAGGUCUGGUUUUGGUGUUUGAGACAGAAUACAGAGGGGAAAGAGAAUCAGCAACACUUCAUGCCAUAAGCCAAGCCCUCUUUGUAACCCAGUUUAGAGUAGUUUCUUCCUCUCUGUUGUUUAAACAGUCAGUGUGUUUACAUGCACAGCUUAAUCGGCCUAAGCUCAUAAUUUUUUUUUUUUUUCACCAAAUCGGACUUCUCUCCUUGUCCACAUGCAGCUGAGGAAAUUGAAUUACUGACGUGAACAUGUACUCCUUCCCAAAACUAGGGGGCAAUAUGGGUCUUUUCAGCGGCCCUGUUUCCGACCCCAUACAGCUGUCAACAACAACAGCAAGUCCAUGCCAGACAUCAGAAGUGGCUACAGCUGCUGCUGGGCAUUUUCGAGCCAGAAGAUGGAGCAUCGUACAGCGUUGUUUUUGUCGUACAUGAUGUAAGCGCUACUUUUUCUACAUAAGAGGUGCACACUACUCCUCUCUUCUGAUGUUUUUGUUCUGGGGUUAAGGAGGCGUAGCACACGCGCACGUGCAUUAUUUGAUCAUAUUCAGACUACGCUGGUUACAUGGUAGAGAAUAUCGAAUUCGAAUUGCAUUAUCAGGGUGUUUUAAUCGGAGUUCUCCGACUCCAAUCCGAGUUCUCAAACUUCAAUUAUAGUCGGACUCAGGCGUUUCCAUGCACUUCAGUUGUCCGGUCUUAAUCAGAACAAGACAAUAAUUUGGUUUUCUCGAGUGUCAUGUAAAUGUACUGAUUGUUUAUUUUUGUUGUCCCAGCUCUUUAGCUCUCAUCCUCUCCUGCAGUGAUCUCCUUUUAAACACAGUCAUUUUGGGCGACCUAACUGAAGUCCUUUUUUCAGCGUUUUGUCCGCGACUCCAGUCUCCAACUAACCCCCCAGUUUUAACAACUCACAGCUGUUCAGUGGAUCAGGAUUCACCCAAAGACUGUAUAAUAAAUGGAUCUGUGAAAUCAUCCAUUUGUCUGUGCAGCAAAGUUUUGAAGCCUUUUGGAGGCGAUCACCGUAUUAGUGGUGCUGACUCAACCUAACUUCCGCUCAACCUACCAGAGAUCAGCCUUUAGCCACAGUGCGCCUUCCUGUCAGUUUAGUCAGCUGUGCCUCUGAUUCACUGAUCUUUUAACUUUGAUAACCUCAAAAUGAACAAGGCUGUAAACAAGUUUAUUUUAGCUCUGAAAAAACUGCCUUUUUGGCUAAGUGCAUAUGUGUUUUUUUGUGCUUCUGCAGCCAGCCUCAGUGGAUCAGAAGCGUCUUUAGGAAAAAGUUAAGUUUGGCUAUUUAGGAGACAGGACAGUGCUAUCACUCACACACAUAGAGAAAUGUUUGCCAGAGUAAGACAGUGUUAAAAAGGCUUCCUUAUAAAAACAGUCAGCCAGUGUUACUUGAAAUACUGUAGUAGCAACUGUGGAUAUGUGUAAUUUUUUUUUAAAGAAUGUCCAAUAAUUUAGAAAGUUUACAUUUUUCUGAUAUCAGGUUUACUGAGUGGUUCAGAGGACUGAAUAAAUACCUGCCUAGAAAAAGAAAAAACCAGAAAGAAUAAUAAUGUUCUGAUGAAAAAAAUUGUACACGGAUCAUUUUCCAAGUAAGUCGUGACAACUGUUCAUCUUCUCAUUGUUGUCUCAUUGAUUGGUUUAUUCGUAUUGUAAGAAGUGAGCCUGCCAGGUGGGGAAACACCAAUCUUCUUAAGUUUGUAGUCUAGCUCUUAAGGAAGAUCCCACGCACCGAAAUCUGUGUCUACUAUGUUUUUAGCUAAUUAGGUAAUAACGGACUGCUGUGCUGUGUAAUCCCGAGGAAUAUCGAGGAAGCGGGGGUGAACGUUAGUAGAAACAGUGAAAAACUCUACAUUUGAGAGGAUGCUAAAACACAGUUGUGUCAAAAAAAAUGAUGAGAAUUAAGAGGGGAAUUGUCUGAAUGAACUGCAUUACGAUUAGUUUUUUCUGUUACAGACAAAUGUUGGCUACAGCUGGCCUGCAAGAUGGGGUUGUGUUUCACUCAUAGACUGUAUAUACUAUGGACAACUUGGCUCCGUCUUCUGCCAAUAUAUGGAUAUGAAGCUGAAAAGCUCUCUGUAUUUUUGCGUUUUUUCUCCAUUUCCUGAAACCAACAUUGUGCAGUAGCGUUGUACACUUUCGACGGAAGAGUCGCCGAGAGUCACUGUGAUGAUGCUCGGCUUAAACAGCAUAUCCCCCGGGUGAGCUACGCAAACUACGCCCAUACCCUGUAUUAAACGUCAAUCAUAGAAAACAUGAACCCCCUAAUAACUUUUAAAAACGGAGAUGUACAGAAAAAAGAGGACUUGAGCACAAACCAGUCUUACAGUAACUACAUGUCAACAUCGUAAGCGGGGGGGGGAAUUUAUAUUCUGUGUAAUAAAUUUCUGAAGUUUGUCCACAGCUCCAUAGGGAUUGCUGGAGGAGGUGGGAUUUAUGAGCUAUACUGCAGCCCGUCACCAGAGGGUGCUGUUCUCGUGGUGGCUUUACCGAGCGAAGAGGCAGACGGCAUCCAUUCUAUACAAGUCUAUGUUUUCACUGUUGGUAAAGUGGCAUGAGAAAUAUGUCUUAUAUCACCCUUAAAGCUUACAACACAUUUUAAAUCAAACAAUGUUGCAUUGAUGAUUGAAAUGACAUUUUGCAUGUCUGUUACUGAAUACUCCUGAAUAAAUGUACAUUUAGUAAUUCCCAAAAUAUAUGCCCCAUGUUGCUGCUGCUACUUUAAUGAUAAUACUUAUUUUAAUUUUCAAUUUAAAAGCUCUUUAGAAAUGACACUGUUUUAUAGUAAAAUCUUGUAGCCCUGGUCUCUGAGUGGCAUUUUAACAAACCACCUCUCAUGACUGUGGCGUCGUUACCCUUUCUUUCCAUACUUACUUUGACUAGAGGUUAGAGUUAGUCAAUAUUGUGUAAUUACACGCAGGAUAUGAUGCCCAAUGACAAUCCCCAGGAGCUGUCUUGUAAAAUCAAUCCCUGCAUUUGGCCCCGGAGACAAUAGUUGUGAGAUGGUAAAUAGUGAGGUGUAGUAAGGAUGAGUGAUGGCUUUGAUAGAUGCUCGUAUUCUCUGCAGCAGGCAGGGAACAGAUUGUGAUUAAUUUUCUUGGUUAGUUUCCUCAGAAGUAGUUACAAAAAAAUGCAGCAGAUUUUUUUUCCCUCUCUCUUUUUUUUUCUGCUAAUGGUGUGUGUACCCAACCAAAGUAUCCUCCUUAAUGCAUCUUUUCAUUUUGUGCACAUGGAGCUGAGCGGUUGUAAUGCAAAUCACAAAGCCCCCUCGCUCUCUGCGGUCUUCUUAUCAUUUUAGUGAUCCUCGCAUAAUGACGUUUAAGACGAAAAUGAAUAAGUGUCCCUCGCUGACAGCCAGUUUUGGCAAGCGUUUAUUCAGAACAGAUGAAAGGGAUUCAAAUGACACAUGGGCUAAUCAAAACUGGAUAUUAAGUACUGAAUUGACGCAGGGCCUCUCUCAACAGUCAAUGCUUAUAAUGCUCUUUAAUGUCUAGUUACAUGAAUCACAACUCACAUUAACCUUCAGCCCCUUGUUUUCUCUUUCCCAGCAUUCAACACUCAGGCUGAUUGUCACAGAACCUGCAAGCUAGUGUUUUUUGGGACCAAAUGUUUGUGUAAAAACAGACAGCGUUUUAGUAUUGGUAAAUGUGGCUUGUUUAUCCUUCAAAAGAAACCAUUAGUCAAACAAACAAAGAGCGCUAUGUGAGCAGACGUUACUGGCAGAAGCAUUAAAAUCCUCUGCAACUCUCUGCCAGGUUAGUAAUUGCUCUUUUUAUGGUGGUAAUUAUUUCCUCUAAGGUGCGCACUGUUGCACACUGCAAUUAUACAUGUGCUGCUAUCUCUGUGUGGAAGGGAAUGUGGGUGGAGAGAUGUGGGACGUAUUUUGAAAUUUUCUACAUUUCAUUUGGUGUGUGUGUGUGUGUGUCGGGGGGGAGGGUGUUGGUGUGUGUGUGUGUGUGGGAUGUGCAGUCAGAGAGAAAAGGCAAAAUUGAAGCUGCUGAUCUGACUUAAAGCGCAUUUUCUACCAAGACAAAACAAAAAUCAAACAACAGUCUGAUGUGGCUGCAUGUUUUGGAUAUUUUUUUGUGUAUUCCUGUUUUCUGUGAAGUCCACGCUUCAGUAGCACAACCCCGCUGAAAGGCAUCGCACAGGAAAGCCAGCGUGUAAGCAUGAUAAGGCCAAUAACCAUGCAAUUCAUAAUUCUGUUUCUUUUAAACCCCCCCCCCUUGUCCUCUCUCUGCAUCUCCUCCCCCGUUGUUGUUUUCCUCUGUUUGCUCCAGACAGUGUGACCCCUGCAGGAUCAGGCUGCAAAACGCCAUUACGCACACACACCUCUCACAGAUAAGGUCUCUUUGGGGGGAAACAGUGCAGACACAGUUUCCUGAUGUUUCUCAGAUGCUGCAACGACGUGGCGUAGAGACUCCGAGCAGGAGGGCAAAAAUUCAUAUGGAUGAUUCGGUGAAAAUACAGCAGCGGCAGCAGCAGCAGCACUCCCAGGUUUCAGCUGAUCUAAGGUGAAGAACUCAUUUGCAUAUUAUUCAUUGAAAUGUCUGUCUGCACCUUAGUCCCAGUGAGCGUGCAGUGGGAUUCAGUUUUUCUCUCCAAACAUUAAUUUAUGAAUAAAUCCACAAGCACAAUACUUACAACUGCAUGAAAAAAUAAACAAAAAACGACAUUGUCAAAUACUUCCUACUGUUAAAGCGAAUAUUGGGUUGAAGUGUUCAGUUUAAAUAAAGCUUUGAAAAGUAGGGCUGUCGCAAUAUACUGACAUCGUCUUUAAAGCUCCUGUAGGGAGUUUUUUUAUGUUUGUGAAAUAGACAGAAAUUCAUAUUGAUGCCUUUUCAUGAUAUUUAAAAGCACCCAAGACCAUCAGGGACAAGAUUGAUGAUUAAUUUAUACUAAUUUGAUACUCCGAAGGUUCAUUACUGGAGCUUUAAAAAUGAUAAAAUGUUGAUUUACACUUAAAUUAGACAUAUGGUGUCUAUAUAUACCGUUACUAAACAGUCGGGGUCCUUCACACCGGCUGCUAGCCAGCCAGCUGAAGCAGCCCUCCAAGGAAUGAUCCAGCACUUUUUAAAAAUCAUUUAUUGUGAAUUUAAAAAACAAAACAAUUGAACAUUUAGUCUUUCUUCUUGUCCUUUUAACUGUUUUAUAAAGUUUUGUAGUAGCUUUAACUAACAGCAUCAGUCUCUCCAUAUUUAACACUGUUACACAGCUAGUGUUAAGCUACUAACGCUCUAUUUUCAUCAAUGUUAUAAUGCUAACGUUAGUUGUAGAACUUUUUGAUUCUUUCUGCUUCAAUGGUUCAACCCCAUAGACUGUGUAAAGAAUGGACGCCAUCUGCCUCCUCGCUGGGUGAAGCCACCCCAAGAACAGCACCCUCUAGUGACGGGCUGCAGUAUAGGUCAUAAAUCCCACCUCCUCCAGCAAUCCCUGUGGAGCUGUGGACAAACUUUAGAAAUUUAUUACACAGAAUAUAAAUUUUUCUCCCCCCUGCUUGCAGUGUUGACAUGUAGUUACAGUAAGACUGGCUUGUGCUCAAGUCCUCUUUUUUUUUGUACAGCUCUGUUUUUAAAAGUUAUUGGGGGGUUCAUGUUUUCUGUGAUUGACACUUGAUGCAGCCUAUGGACAUACAAAGAUUGUGCAAUUCACCUGAAGGAUACGCUUUGAGCCGAGUGUCAUCACAGUGACUUUCAGCGACUCUUCCGUCGAAUGCGUACAAUGCUAUUUCGCAAUGUUGGUUUCAAGAAGUGAAGAAAAAACCCCAGAAAUAACGAGAGCUUUUUGGCGUUGGAUCUGUAUACUGGCGGAAGGUGGAACCAAGUUGUCCAUAGUAUAUACAGUCUAUGGUGAUCACAGAUAAUAUCGCAGUACUGUUUAGUAGCAGCACAUGCCCCCAUGAUUACACCCUUUAAAAACUGUUGUUUGGGACUACACACUAGUGUCUAAUCAGAACUGAAAAAGAGUCAGUCUGCUGUUGUGUCAGUAUUCUCGCUUCCACCUGGGAUGCGUCUUUUUUCCCCUUGGAAAGUCACAAAAAAUUGUAAUUUCGCAUCGUAUAUUUGCGGACCUUUAACCGGGGACAGGUCAUCGUCUCUGGAAAUUGGGGAUGUCUGGUCUCCUCACAUUAUCCGGCUGUUCCUGUAAAUAGCGUACAUACCUGUUCUUUUGUCACUGGCAUUGUAACCAUUUAUCUGUAUGUACAAUUGUUGUUACUGUUGUUUGUCUCCUUCUAUCUCUCCCUUACUGUAUCUCUCUCCAACCCAGUCCCCAUACUUUGAAAAAAACGAGACUAACUACCAACAGGAUGCAUCUGAUGACUCAAGACUGAGUAUGUAUAAACUCAGUCCCUCCUCCUCCGAUCUUCAACACCAUCAAAUAAAAGACUCCUUCAUGUCAGUGACUACAUGUUAUGUUCACCCUUGACUUUUUGUUUUUUCUGACUGAUUCUGGUGACAGCAGUCUGAGCCCACAAGGCUUUUAUUAAUCACUCAGCAUGGUUGGAUAGGAGGAGAUGAGAUAAUUGUCCUUUCCUCUAUCUAGUACAGUAUCAUAACCUAAUUCUGAGAGAUAGCAUCUCUUGGGAAGACUCUCUGUCGUCACACUGCUCCACAUUCCCAUUCAGCUUCACUGUGAUCUAUAUUUGUCCCAUUUUUUUCCCCCCGUUAACAUUUGGAGGAUUUGUAAUCAUCAUUCAACCUGAGAUUUGGCUGAGCAUCCGCCAAUUAACCUGACUCCCCUCUCUUUGACCUCAUCAGUAUGCCAUUAAGCUCACACAGUCACCAGGGCCCUGUGCCGGAUCACACAACUGUACAGACAGAGAAAGACAUGAGCGAAAUCUCUGCCAAAGUUCCUCUUUUGUACAGAGGAAUAUGUAGGAUUUGUGCCUUUUUUCAGUGAGUGUCCACCUGUGUGUGUGUGUGUGUGUGUGUGUGUGUGUGUGUGUGUGUGUGUGUGUGUGUGUGUGUGUGUGUGUGUGUGUGUGUGUGUGUGUGUGUGUGAGAGUGUGUGUGAGAGGUGGUGAAAUUGAGUUGAGUGAGGUCUCAAGGUAAUUCAGCCUUCACUUGACUUUAUUCUUCAAUGUAUGUAAAUUCUGUCCAACCUCCGUCCACCUCUCUGCAGCUACCUCUGUCUCUCUGAUGUUCUGAAUCUCAUUUUUCUGUGUGCUAGUGUGUGUGGGUGUGUGUACAUCUCGGUGAUGCGUGCUUGCUGCAUGUGUGUCCGUGGAUUGUAAUGCAUUAGCUUGCUCCUCCCAGCGGAGUGCCAGUCUAAACUAAGCAGCGUGAUGAUGAUGCUCUCUGUGAGCUGACACAACCCAUUUGGCCAGCAGGAGUUGAUCUACACCAGCGCUGCUAGUUUACAGUGUGGGAGGGGUGCGGUGAGGUGGGGAGUGGGGGGCAGAGUUGGGAGGGUCUGUCUGUGUCCACCUCACCCUCAUGUCCUUGUCUGAUAGAGGGAGAGAGAAAGAGAACAUGUCUUGAUCAUAAUCUGUUGAACUGUUCUUUUGUUAGCUUUUGUACACACAGACUGCAGUUUCAAAAACCAUAAAGCAUAAUUUUCCCAUCAACCAAUUUAAGUCUUAAAUAAUGACAUACAUAUGUAUUCUUCUUACAUAAAAUGAGCUAUCAAUAUAGCACUGCAUGUUAAACUACCCAACAAUAUAAACAAAUUGAAACUAGCGCCUUCCGGGGCACCAAUGGGCCCAGGCUGUGUGGCACCACACCUCUGUGGACCACCUCCCCUUUUUGUUAGUCUUGGGGUCCAAAAUAAGUGUUUACAUAGGUUUGGGUCACACACUGGAGCAAAGCUUACAUUUUUAAAUUUUGUAGGGGGCGCUAUGGGGCCAUUUUUAGUUGGAUCUCCAUUUUGACAUUGGAGCCCUUUUUGUCUGUCUUGGGGUCCAACAUAAGUGUCCUCAAUUUAGUAGGUCGGGGUCACACACAGGGGCGGGGAUUACAUUUUGAAAUUUUGUAGGGGGCGCUAUGGAGCCAUUUUUCAUUGGAUCUCCAUUUUGACAUUGGAGCCCUCAAGAGGACGCCCCUCCUGAUCUGCAUACCAAAUUUCAUGUGGCUGUGCAUAUCUAUAGCAAUAUCACAGAUUGCUAAUUUUCUUUGAGACGUUUCAUAUUCCACCUAGGCGCAGUUUAACAAAACAAGGGGCUGAUUUUCCAGCCUAUCUGGUACCCCAUCAUGUAUGUCAGUUUAAAGCUCCUGUAGGGAGUUUUUUGACAUUUUCUUUUUUUUUUUUUAACAGAUUUCAUUGUGAUCUCUCUACAUGCUAAAAAAGCAAAACAGACCACCAGUAACAAGACUGAUUAUUUCCAUACACUUAUUAUUGUUUCUUGUAAGAACUGCCUCAGGGUAGGUGUCGGAUUGAGUCAAUUAACAUCAUUGAGCAACAAUAAAAGACAUUUUCUUCAUAUUUUUCACAACAGAUUCACCCUAGGGCUAUCGUAAUGUACCGGAUAUAUUAAUGGUAACGGUCUUUGUUGAAAUAUGAAAUAUUGAUUUUGUGCUGAAAAAUAAGCAAACAGUAAUACCGUGAGUUCAUAGCUGUGGUCUAUUUGUUGGUUGCUACAUGUCAUUAACUCAAGGAGGGACGAAGAAGAAGAAGCAGCAGACCACGUUGUGGCUCAAAAGCAGAUCUCUGAGAGACGAUUGGGCGUUUUUAAAAUCUGUUAUUCCAUUAUUGAUUAGGGUGACCUUAUGUCCGCUUUUACCCGGACAUGUCCUCUUUUUUGGGGACUGUCAGGGCUGUCUGGCCUUGUCCGGGGAAGUUUAUUAAAAUCCUUCAAAUGUCUGGGGUUUUGUAUGGAAGUUUUGAGUUUGUGUCACAUGGACUUACUGAGUCAGAAGCACGUAAAACCCGAAAAACUCUCAAAAUUAACUUUGUUCGACUCUGUGACGCCGUGACUCCGUGACUUCGCUCCCGCAUAGUCGUGUCCUCUUAUUGGGGAUUCAGAAUAUGGUCACCAUAUUAUUGAUAGUAAUCCAAAUGCUCUUACGGUUACGAGUUAAUAGAGGGUUUUUAAUUUCUAACCAUUAUUUCAACAGUUUUCAUUUAGAUUCUAACGUAGCUUCAAAAUUAAUUAAAAAAAAAAACCCUUCAAAAUAAAAGCACCAUUAAAUAGUAUAAGAAAUAUAUCAACCUAAAUGCAGGACAGAAAAAGUAGUCUUUCCUCAGCUUCAUUUCCUACAAAAUAUUGUAAUAAUAUCAUUAUUGUGAUAUUUUAUGGCCACAAUAAUCAAAAGGUGAAAAUCUGAUAUCAUGACAGCGCUAGUUCAUAGGCAAUGAUUUGUUACAUCAUCAAAACACUCAACAAAAGCAUUUACAGGACAACUUCAGUGAAGACAACAGCCAUGCACUUAAAUCAAAACAAACCAAAAGUUCCUCACAGGAGCUUUAAAGUAGAAUAAUUCAGCUUUCUUCAUCAGAGUGUCUUCUAACAACAAGACCACCCAGUAGUUUUCUAUUUGGAGUUCAUUUUAUUGUUGGUUAAUUUCCUCAUGUGAAACACCACUAUUUCAUCAAAUUGAGUUACAAAAUUUUGUCACAUUAGCCAAAGUUACUCGGGACUUCUCAUUAUUGAAAUUACAUGAUGUAAAUGAGGCUGACUGAAAACAAAUUACUAUGUGUGUGUUUUUGAGUGAUUUCAGAUAGAUGUGCUUAACAACAUGUGAUCGGUUAUGAUCCCUAAUUACUACAAUUUCAUCAAACUACAUCUUUUGUAAAUGUGUGGAUUAGAGACCCCGGAGGUACAAAUUUAAAAUUGUACUUAUCCAGAUUGAUUUCCUCGUUGUGAACCAUGUCAGAUUGGUUUGCAGAGCGUUUAGCUGUUCUUGCAAGUGAAUGUCAGCAUACAAUGUUUAAUAUGCAUUUCUGUGGUAGUGCAGUUACAUGCCUGUUUAACCAAACACAGACACAACCCUGCCUCCAUGUUCUAGGUCAAUAAACUGCCCAACGUCUGUCAUCUGUGCUUAUUAAAACAGAAAGAUAACAUAGCAUUAUGAUUAGGUUUUAACCAGAGCUACAGCCUUGCACAACCUAUAACCAGCAUUUCAAGCCUACAAUAAUUAAGGUAAAUAAUAAAUAUAUGAAAGACUCAUGAACUGGCUAUGAAUGCUGGUACAGAGGUUUAAUCACUGCAUAUCAAAGGGGAUUUAAAGGCACUAUGAGGAUUUUUCAACUGGUUGAAAUACUACAAAAACUGAUACUGAUGCCGCUUUGUGACCUUCAAAAGCAAACAAGACCAUCAACAACACUGAUCAUGUCUCUGCUGUGAUUUUUAAUGCCUGAAACUGUUUAGAGCAGGUUGGUUUUUAAAGCCAAAAAAGUGACAGCAGGCUGAAGAAACAAGCUUUUUAAUUUAAAAACCUGUGGCAGAUACUUUCAGUAGUGAUACAUUUCAGUGAAUAGACAACAGGGUGAGGUUAAAAAAUUUAACCUAAGCAUGUACAGGGCGAAAGAUUAACGUAUCAUAUUGUCCACAGGGGGGCACCAGAACGAAGACAAAACAAAAGUUCUUUACUGCAGCUUUAAUAACAACAUUUGAUUUACUUUGGGGACAUCUUUAGGACAACACAUUCACAGAUACUGUUAUUUGUGAAAAAUUUUUUAAUGAUGUCUUUUUCUACUUUCUCAUGUUUUUAUAGCAUGGUUUUGGUACUUUUACCCAUAGAUAUGGUCUGUAGAUACAACAUGCCCUUUCGAGCUGCGUGUUUACGUUACAGCCAUCUUGGUGGGGGCAUCAUUGCAAUUAAUGGCAAUGCAUGUACAAAAAAAAUAAAUUGUAUCCUGCUCAUUUCUCAACUGAUUUUCAGGCUGUUUACUUUAUUGUUAACACCAAAAAUGUGCUAUUGAAACAGGACUGUUGAAAUAGCACAUGUUUUGACGUUGGAAAAUAAAGUAAACUGCAUGAAAAUCCAUCAAGAAAUGAGCAAGAUAUGAUUUAUUUUUCAUGUACAUCUAAUGCCUUUAAUGGGAAUGUUGCCCCUGCCAAGGUGGCUGCCACAUACGUAGGCACAUCACUUAGCGGGCUGCCACUGGCUUAUCUAGUCUUCUAUAUACACUUUAUCUGUGCCUUUACCCCCACAUAACAAAGAAGCUGAACUUUUCUUUACAAUUGCAGAUUGCUUAGAUGACCUCUCAUCUUACCUUUUCUGCUGCGUGUUUAAGCCCUCAGCUUGAUACAGUUUAAAACCAUUCUUCCCUUUACUGUGUCACAAAUGAAACUUUAAAUGCAUCCACAUGAAACCCUUGUGCUGUUAAUGACUAGACUUUCAUUCAUGUUUCUAUUUAUAUUAAAAGGUAACAUCAUAACCAUGUAUAGUAGAUGUUUUUAUCCACAUUCAGCAAUGGGUACAGACGCGGUACAAUACGACAUCCAUACUAAAAAGGAAUAAAUUGUUCAGUUUUCGAAGAAAUUAAAUGUUAAAUAUCAAGGUCAAAGGUCACUGAGCUAGUGCUGUGUGGAACAACAGUGUAUUAUAAAAGGUCAGACAGGGGUUUUCAUUAUUUGUACAUUCCCAAGGUUAUAGAAAAUAUGUCUGAUUACUGUUCUUUUUUUUAAUGCAUUAUCAACAACAGCCAACUAUGAACUUGGUGUUAAAACACAAUGUAAUUAACACCUUUAUGACAGUGUCAACAAAGUGUGAGUGUUUUAUGCAUCAUAAAGACUUUAUGGCGGAGCUGUUGUGGACAUUAGCACAUCGUGAAGAGUACACAGAGUGUAAAACCAUUCAUCAACAAAAAUAAACCUCCCCUGGGCCUCAGUAAAUAAAGUCCUGCAGUAUAUUUUACACAGCUUUAAAUAUGUUUCUAUUCAUCUGCACAUUCACAGGAAUACUCCCCGAUUUUGUCUCCUCUCUUUUUCCUUGAAAGAAAACCAAAACCUUCAGCUAAACUCAGCUAAAAAAAAAACCUUAAGAAAGAAGUAACAAGUAACUUAGAAAAGCAAAUUAACAUUUAUAUAGUCUGAUACUUAUUCGGGUUGAAAAAAAUAUAUUAAAUUCAAAGUCAAAGGUCCGUAACUUUUGGAGAGAGCAGCAAAAAACAACCAUUUAAAAUAAAACAAGUGAAACCGGGGUCAUCAUGAUUUGACAUUAAGGUUUGUGGAGCGUCUUAAUAACUAAAUCGAGUGUUUUUUAUCCUGUCUGGAGCCAAUAAGCUGAUAAAUUGAGAGGUUAAAUGUAUCUAAAGCUAUCAACAGCCCUAGAAUCAAUUUACACCAUUUCUUCCAUUUCUUCUUUCACUUCCUCCCUUUUGCUUCGCUGUUUGAGAAACAAGAUACAGAAAUAGAUGUCAUUACAUGCAGACUCUUGGUAUUGGAUAAAAUAAUGGAAAUAACCCACUGAGCAAUAGACGGCUAUUAGACGUCUAGUUUUCUUUUAGACCUAAUUUCAACCGUCUAGAUUCUGUAUAUUUUUAGAUGGAAUUUAGACGUUGCACUUUAACCCAUUAUUGGAUAAUUAUUUAUUUCAAAAAGCAACUGAGUUGCAUAACUGAUAUCUAAGCACUUAACCAAAAUAAUAUGAUAGCCGUUGAGCAAUAUAUAGUGUAGUAUAGUAUAGCAGUCUAGUCUAAAUUGGUCUAAAUUUAGACGUCUAAAAAACUUUCAUUUUUAGACCUGCGGUAGCCUGUUAGACGUCUGUUAGACCUCUUUUAGACCAAAAAAUGCUCAGUUGGAAGAAAACUGGUGUAAACAAGAGAGCACUCUUACACUGCAGAAAUCUCUAUAGCAUGACGUUUUUCUUUUAAGUGAUGAUCUUCAUUAAAAAAGCAACAGACUUUCUUUAUUACAGGAUAAAGUAAAUAAUCCGUCAGUAGGAGAAAAAGCUGAAUGUCAGUUUGAUCGGGUAUAGUCUCCUCUAUAAAUUGCCACCACUUUCAGCCCACAAUAACAACAUGAAACAGUUUGAUUAAACUGAAGCUGUGUGUACACGCUGAACUGAACUGAACUGAAGUGAACGUCUCCAUAGCCUGGAUUAGAAGUGGCCCUAUAAACUCCCACGGCAGCCACCUUUACCCAAUCACCCCUCCAUUGCUGCUCCAUUGUGUUCAUAAUUGUAAUCCCCUGGACCGAUGAAAGGGGCGAACUAUGCCGGUUAAUUAAAACAGCAAUCAAAUUUAGCCCUUAAACUGGCUGCAGAAAGGGACCUCAUUCAAUUAAAUCAUGCAUCACUUUCCUUUCAAUAACACACACACACACACACAAACAAACAAACAGUGAGGGGGUUUGAGUCGUGUAAAUCCAUGCUCUUGUUGAUUGCCUUCUUCUGCUGGGAUUUUUUUUUUUAAUUCAGUAAACAACAGCUGAGGUGGCUUGGAGGCAAGUCCGGGUGCAAAAGGGGGAUUAAAGACCCUUCCAUCGGCCUUCCAUUGGCACUUGUCAUGCUCUUAAUUUGAUGCUGUAAUUAACUUUUGAAAUCUCAGGGCGUUUUGCAGCCUGUGUAACCGGGGUGGUGUGCUGAUAAACACAGAGUCGCUGACUUCUGCAGAAAGAUUCGUCAAAUAAAGAGCACGAUCCUGGACUCUCUGAUGACCUGAUGAUGGAGAACACACUGUCCGUAUUUGUGUGACGGUAAUUAUAUUGAUGGAAAACAUUGUGUUUGCGAUGUAUUCUUCUAUUUUCAGCCUCACUUUGCAGAGCAGAUGUUGACCACCUGCCCUUAACUAUCUGCCCGCCUGGCUGGGAGAAUAUAAAACAGUAAUGUACCUCCUCUGGGUGCAGUGGAGGGUGUAAGGUUUGUUUGGUUUUUUUCUCUUUUCUACCAGCAGACACAAUAAACAUUCACAAAGAAAACACACCUUUAGACACACAUGCUUGCACAGUUGAAUCAAUUAGUUACAAAUCCAGCAGGGUUUAGCGGAAAGGAGAGAGUGGGCGAGUUUUUUCACGCAGGCCAACCAAUCAUGUGUUAAUUGCUUUGAAAUUAAGUACCGUCUGUUUUUGAGUGCUAACUAACAGGUGAAAGAAAAUACUCAAUAAGUCAUUAACACAAGCCUGAAAGAAAGAGGUGACCAAAUGAAUGUUUUUUUUCUUCAGAAAUGUGUUGUUGUUUUUUUCAUUUCAGACGGAUAGAUAAAAAAAAGUCAGUAAUUAAUUGCCAUUGACUUUGAUUCACAGUUACCACAGCUUCAUUAAAUCAAUUUUACCUUGUUGUUUAUUUACUAUAGCAGGUUAUAGAUUAGAUUUAGCUUACAAUUUCCCAUUUAUCGUUACUUUAAGAUCAAAAUUCUGUGUAUUAUAACGCCUCUGGGUGGAUUUUAAUACAUAUAGAAAGAAAAUUUGCCAGAGCUCUCUUUAGUUCUACAAAAGUUCAAUAUUUUUAGGAUUAAUUUCACAUUUAGACCCUGCUACCCUCUGCCCCAAAACCCCAGGCCCUGCUUCUUAGCUCUCUGGGUGUCAGGCUUCCCUCUUUUUGCAGUCCUCAGAUAAGAAAUGUUCUGUCCACAUGCUGCUUUUCCUAUAUGUAAUAUGCAAUUCUUCCAAAAUUGAUUUAAAUUCCCUCUGAGGAAUAUCAUUCCAGUUUUAAAGAUCCUAAGAUGAGCUGGUUUUAUUCAGACUGAAAUCAUCUCUAUAAGCUCCAAAAGCAAACCAGGCUAUCAACAACAAGGCUGAAAAUGUCUGUGCUGCAGUUCUGAAUGCCUGUUACUGCUAUCACCAGACAAUGAUAUUGAGAAAAAGCCUUUUUUAAACUUUUUUCCUGCAGCAAAUAUUCAUUGCGAGUUACACAUUUGAAAACCGUUGAAAAACAGCAGGAUUAGAUUUUGUCAGAAAACGCUGCAAGAGAAGGUGCUAAUGUAUAUAAAGGAUCCAGUUAAGCUAGUCAGAUAUGAAGAAAGUUACAGUCGAAGGAAAACACCUGCAGAGUUUGGUCUGUUUGGUUUGUUCAUGUCAAUUUAUAUGAUUGAAAAAAAGAGUCAAGUAGCAAAAAGUGGAAAGUGAGUAGUGCAUUAGAGUUAUCUUGGAUUAUGUGCAACUUUUAAUUUUACUACAAUCCACUUUAUAGGAAUAUUGACACAAUUACACUCAGAUUAUAAUGUGUAACAGACUGAAGCAGAGCUCCCCCUGAUUUUUGUAAACCCCAGAAACAAAGGUGGGCAUCUCUUUUUUGUGUGUAAUCGGCAAAAUGAUUUGCUUUCAUGGAGAUAUUUCACAUGUAAAAUGUAAACAAAGGCACUUCUAGUCUGUGUGCUGUAAACUGUUCUAUUGAACUACAUUUCCUUUAAGUGACCGCCAUUAAAACUUUAAAAGAAAAUAAGACACUAAAACGGGUUGUUUAAUUCUUAUCGGCAGAGCUUAUGAGUACAGUUUCCCUUCAAUCCAUGCAUGUGUGUAUUGUCUGUGUCUGUGAGUGUGUGUGUGUCUCUGUAUUUAAGAUGACUGUAGCGUCCCCUCUCCGGCCCAGUCAUUAACCUGGGAUUAGCCUGGCAGAGAUGGAGGUCAGAGGUCAGCGAGUAAGUGAGUCCCCCUGCUGCACAGUCUGCUCCCCGAGCCCUGAAUUGAAACUUAAUGCUUCCCUCUUCUACUUGUGACAGAAUGAUAUUUUCUCCCCUUAACUCAAGGGAAUUUGUGCAAGUGUUUAUGUCGUGCGCCACUGCAUCAGUUAGCUCGAGUGGAUUGAAGGUAUUUCUUCAAGUUGUCCGCUUCUUUUAAUCUUCACCCUUUAUUUGUGUGAUGCUUAUAAAAAUAAAGGUUUAAAAACUGCUGGAGAGAAACACAGCAAUCUCCAAGUUUAAACAGAGCUGUGGCUAUUUGGGCAGCAGGGAGAUAUGGUGGAGGAGGGGUGGGGGUUGGCGGUGGAGGGCUGGUUUGGCUCGAGCUUCUGAAGGGGGCAGAAUUUGUUUUAUGAGGGUAAUUGAUGCUUUGCUGCAGGAGAAGAGGGCAAAGCAGGCAUGAAAUUGUGCAGAGGAUCAGAUCCGUAUCGGAGCAUACGGGAGAGCUGAGGGAGAACAACGGAGCCUGGCAGCCUCAGGGUGGCUGGAUUAGGGUGCAGCACUCAGCACCAAGGUACAGUUAAGAGCCAAUUUUAUUCUCUAGCAACCCAAUCAGUGGAAAAGCCCUGUAUCCUAUUAGAUUCAAGUUUAGGGCGGAGAAGCAGAGCUGCUGGAGAACAGCCAUCAAGACGUUCACAUAGCCGCCAGAAUGGAGAGAAGGAAAGGCACCGAAAAAAAGAGAGAGAGAAACUGGAAGAAAUUAUAGAGAGGAAAUUUCACUCUAUCUAAAAGUAACUGAGAGUGAAGCAGUGCUAACUUCAUGCUAACACUGAGGGGGUCAACCAGCACCAAAGGCUAAGAAAAUGAAGAUCUAAGCAGGGGGUCAGUUCGUCAUUUUACACCUGAAUAAGCAGCUGAUCUCUCAUUGUGCUCAGGUUUACACCGCAUGAGCACCAGGCAGGGUCAUCGGUCCAAUUCCCUCUGUGUAUUCUCGCUGCUUUGCCGCGUUAUUGUGUUUACAGGCGGCGCGGAGCUUGAGGUUGACAAAUGCAUAGAGGGCACAGCUCAUCAGGAUUCCCCAGCUGUCCGUCUGUGAAUAAGAGGAGGGAAUUGGCUGUCAAUCCCUAAUUAAUAAACUCUGCUCCUCUCCCCCCUCUCUGCACGCACUUGUCUGAUCAAUAACCAUUGUGCAGCGCCUCAGAUGGAAGCCAUUCAGAUUUAUCUGCUAAUAUCCUGGGUGAUAGCCCGAGCUAGACUGGAGAUGACAGUAGGCUCAAAGCCUAUUACCUCCUUAUUUACUGUUUUAAAUUCUGCUAUAGUCACAGCCCGUCGCUGUCUCUCUCCAGUAACAAAUAGAGGAAAAUCUCUUCGCUCUCCCUGGGACGAGUCAAGGACGAAGCAGAUGGAAAACAUAUGAACGUCUCUUUGUUUUGCUUGUUUUCUAAGCUGUUUGUAAAAAAACAGAAUGUAUGCAGAUGUAGACAUUUCUGUUUCAAUAAAUGCCAAAUACUUGCAAGUUAAAACUGCUGACCUUUCUUUUGUAAACUGUAAAGAUUUUAAAGCACAAUCACUCCUUGUCUCUUCUUCCCAACUUAAAAUCGAUGCCCCAUUUCCUCCUAAAGUGACACUCCCCAUUUUUUAAACAAUCUGGUUAAUUUCUAAUUUCUCAUCCUGUUAUUCAUCCUGCUGUUUCUCUUCCUUUAUCUUCAGCCCAGUCAGCACCAGUUGCUGUCUUAUAUCCUGUUCAUUUGACAGUCGGACAGAUCUUCAGUUCGUCACAGUGAUGUACAGUUGUUGAAUAAACGGUGUCUAUUUAACAGGAAACAAGCUCAUAAACACAUAAGAAAAGCCUCAAGUUGAAGAGUAGCAUCUGGGCCUGACAACGGUGUUUACUCUGCUGUCAUGUAGAGAGACUGAGAGUGGAUUAACGAGUUUAAACCUCUCUCAGGUAAGUGUUUAUUUGACUUAAAAAGACCAAUACUUCCUGGUUCUACAUGCUGAGUACUGCUGUUACUAUACACAACGUAUAUCAUUUUGUUUCUCUUCUGCUCACUUUAAAGGACUCCUAGUUUUUAGACUCUACUCAGUGUGGAAAAACAUUAUUAAAAUGUCGACUGUCUUCCACGACUUAUCAGGAUGUUUCUGUUGAAGUGAAGUUGUAUAAAGAACUUGUUAAUAGUGUGUGUAAACACACAGGAGGAGCUUGUCCUCCUCUUGUGAACUCAAUAAUUGACAUUUCACAUUCAAGUAAAAAUUUGCCCUUGUUUGUUUGGUGGGAUCAUCUGUCGGUUUACAUAACUGUAGCAUGCUGCUUAAAUCUGAUUGGUUUGUAGGUCUGUUCAGUCAACUCCAGAGCAGUUCCAGAGGGGAGUGUCGUACCCGACCGGACCAAUUCACCAGGCUACACUUUUGCAAAAAACAGCAGAGCAGCCCGACUUUGAGGAUUGGAGGUAUGGACAUUCUCUUAUGGUGCGUCCUGGCCAUGAACAACUUUCUGCCUUUGUAAUUUAAUCGCCAAAUCCUCUCAAACACCUGUAAAGGCAAUGUACUCACAUAAAGUUAAAAGACCAUGGACCCUGAGCGAUGCUUUAAAAGCACAAGAUAAUCAAAGACUGUUUUGUCCACAGAGGGCGCCAAAAAUGACAAAAUUUGAAAGUUCCUGACAGGAGCUUAAAGCUAGGCUUUUUUAAAAAAGUAUAUCAUUGAGGUAUUUUUGCCUUAGAGGGAUAUUCCGGUGUAAAUUUAAGUUAUGGUCAAACACACUGUGACAUUGAGUUAGACCAUCCCUGGAGAGAUGAAUGUUGCAGACUGCAUGCUUCUCUAGUUAUACCAACUUCAGCAAUGACCGCAUGAUAGCAAUACCAUGCAGUCUAUGUCUCCACUCACAAACCUCAACCAAAAAGCCACUCUAUAGCCACAAAUAAUCCUCAGAACAGCACCUAACUUCAUCAGCAGUACAUAUAGGGUCCCAGCCAUAGUACUACCCAUCAAACGUCUUUUUAGCUUUGACUGAUUUCUUUAGCAAAGAGACUAAACACAACUCACCUACUCUCUUUUUGUGGGGAGAGCCCUGACGAGUCGAUCAGUGAGUGUCACGGAGUUUCGCAGCUCAAUGAAGAACAUUUAUGAUUUUUACUUUUUGGAAAUUCAAUCAAGGCGCUUGUGUAUCUUGUAUAUACACUGCAGGCACAGUGAUUCUUCUGCCUUAGCGCAUCGGUCGAUUGAAUUUCCAUGAAGUAAUAAUCAUAAACAUUCUGCUGCACUGGGUAGUCGAACCAGUGACCACUGGACGAGGAAUAAAGAAUCUAAAUGUGGGGAAAGUAGAACUCUAGGUCACCAGCGCCCGAAGUUAGACUGCUUUAAAACUUAUUGACCGUAUUUGGAUACACAGUUGAAUAUUUGACAGGUCGAGCUUAGUAACUAGAAUGAGCCGCAGACAAAAGACUGAUAGUGACACCCACUUAACUUUAACCCUUGAAUCAGUGAGACAGAUGAACAUACUGAAAAUUCCUGUUGCAAGAGUUUACUAAAACAUGCGGCAAAAACAAACACCAUUUUUGUUCAUAUCCAAUCCAGGUGCAAAUUUGCCAUUUUAACACAGUUCAAGGUUUUGCUGAGUCAUACUUAGGUUUAACAAUGCAGCUUUGUUCUCAGAGCUAACUCGUAUCAUAACAGAUAUUCAGCUACAAAAGGACUGUGAAAUGAAGUAAAAUUCAUAAAUAUAUCUCAGAGCGUAACCUUUAAAGACAGACAGUCAUGUAUUACUUCAUCUCAAUUACAUGCACAGUCAUUUGCAGGGCAGGGGAGUGUUGACUGGCUGGAGUGUUUUGUUCAUUGCAGGACAUGCUUCAGGUGGCUCAGACAGAGGUAUUUUUUGAUAAGCACUCUUCCGCAAUCAUUAUUCUCGUCCGAUGGAGGUGAACAGCAUUAUCACAACAUCCGAGGGGGGAUUUGAAUUCGAGGUGUGCCCUUGUUUAUGCUCUAUCACCCAAUUUUCAGUGGAAAAACUUGUUGUUGCAGCCGUCCUGCAGAGUGAGUCCUCCUUGAUGUUUAUCUCUGCUGAUCACUUGUGGAUGAUUACAGAGAGCUGUCUGCGAUACAACGGUGUCGGCACUCAAAUCCUGAGUGUGAAGGGACAAUUGUGGCACCCAGGAGACGUACGAGCAGAGAUGACAAGUUGGUAUCCUCGGCAAUAACCUUUCACAUUGAAGUUGCUAUUUUCUAAAAGUGUCUGCAAAAUCACAGUCUGUUAAGAACUGGAGAUUAAUCUACAUCUAUGUUGAAAGUUGAAAAGGGACAUUUUUAAUCGGAGUGUGGAGUGUGAGAUUUUUAAAAGUGGAUACUAAUACGUGUAUCAAAUUACUAACUCAAAUAUUAACAGCUAAAUUCAAAGCAUGUGUUGUUUAUACAGACAUAUUUAUUCUGUUAGAUGAUGUGUUGUGGUUAAAAGCACGAAUUCAUACGACAAAAACAUACGUCAACCUAUUCAACCACGCGCACACACACAUCCGAACACACACAGUCCCAUUAAUCUGCUUUUUGAUUCAGGUCUUAAUCUCCUGUCUGUUACUCAGCUGGCAGGUUCCGCCUCCCAGCUUAGUAGUAACAAAAAGGGUUGGAGAUUCAUGAAGAGCCUCAAACAAGCCACAUGCAUCAUAAAACCUGUUUAUCUUUGUUGUAACCUUGGUGACUGGAUGCGUGUAGAGGGGGCAGGGGUUUGAAAUAUCAGGACUGAUGAUCAAAUAAAUGAAGCAGGUACUUUGGAUAAUGCAAAUAAAUAAAUAAGAGCAGCCUUUGAAGGAAAAUACCUAUUUAACCCAUGCAUUAGAUAAAGACAGUUAGCCCCUAUGCUACUUCAUAUGUCUCCAAAACUGACCAUGAGGUUGACACGAUAGGCUCUGUAGUCUCUUUGACAUCACUUGUUGUUGUUUUUUUAAGUCCUAAUAUGAUUUAUUAUUAUUAUAAAAUCACAUAACUUGUGUCAUUUUCAAUGGCUCUUCUUCUGCAGAGCUCCGGUAGCUCGUUAGCAGUUCACCAAUGAGUCGUGGGUGGAGAUGACGCUGCUCUGCACACUCCUCUUCAUGCUAGCUUGCAGCCUAACAUUGCAGCAGAAAUGGCAGGUUUUAUAAAAAACAUAUUUAGCUCUUGGACACUAAUGUCUUUGGGGGCGUGAUGAAAGUUAAUAUCAUAAUUAGCUUUCUUACGAGCAUUGCAAUCCGCUGCUGCACACACUUGUUCUGCGAUCGUCCUCUCUACUUCUUUGAGUCUGGCCUGCAGAGCAUGGACUUGUAAAAUAGAAAAUCUCAUGAUGUCUGAACCUGCUGCUUGGGUCUGCCAGAGGUUCAUAGCUAUUUUAAUGCAGAAAUACUCAGAAAUGCAAUUGUGCACUUAGUUUGUUCAUGAUAUGUCCUCUUGCAUCGGGAAAAUGCCGUGUGUAAGUGCCACAGAAGUGUUAGCCAUAUUGGAAAUACUGAUGCAACCAAAUUCUUGGUCAACUCAGAAAAGGGCAAAGAGGCAAAGUUGAAGCAAGCCUUUGGCCUCCUGGCAAACAGCUACAUUGUACCAGCCUGUCAGUCAAAUCAACCACAGCCCUGAAUAUGCCAUAAAAGCUCCAAAACAUAUUAUUUAUAUAAAAUCGCCCAGGAAAGAGAGAAAUAGGUGGUUCAGACCAAAUGAACCUGCAAAUGUGUUUCUUUCAGCUGUGUAUCGACAUUUUAUGGUGGGUGUUAACAGGCUCUUAAAUGAACAGUUUUGGCUUCAUAAUCAUUAAUGCUAUCAUCAGUCCUGCUGACUUUUACAGGUGUAACUAUGAAGACUAGCCUAUUAUCAUUAAGGUGCAACUGUUGUAAAUAGUACACAUACUUUUAUUGAAACUGUAAACAUAAGUCUAUGUGAGCUGUUGUUGUCGUCUGUUUGUUAUCAUCUCCAUCUUUCUGUAACUCCCUGUAUCCCUCUUUCCAAGCCCAACAUGUUCUCAACAAAUGCCUGUUGAAGAUCAGUCUGGUUUUUAUUUGAUGAAAGGAAGUUUUUCUUUGCUUACUGUAACAUGCUAAAUGCUGUAAAAUGCUUUGCUUAUGGCAGAUUAAGACAGGAUCAAAUUGAAUCUUAUCUUGAUGUUGGGCUUUGUAAAUAAAAUAAACAAAGGAAAUUGUAAAAACCUGCCAUGUGUGUUAAACAUCUUAAGAUAAUGUUUGUUGUAAAUUGAUGCUAUUUAAUUAAGAUUUAUUGAUUGAUUUUUCAGUGUCAGAGGUUGCUGCUCAAUUGGCAAAUGCAUGG
rnacentral:lncRNA from 1 species